UCAAAUUGAAGGUGACAAUUCGGACGAGAUAAAUGGACCAGACAGUUGUGUGGAAGCGAUUACUUCAGGGGAGUAUCUUCAAGAAGCUUGUUUUAUUCGAUGGGUUUGGUCGCGCCCAUCCAAUCCAAGGCCAGUAUACUUUGUGGCGACAAAUAUGUUUUCGCAUCUUGCUAUGAUAUGUCACUUCUUGAAUUCUGGAACGUUACUGCCACUGUACAGAUCUUGUAAUGAUUCACCGACUAUGCUUUGCACUGCAGUAGUGGUCAAUCCAGACACCAUUCUUUUCCACAGAGCACCGUGUCUCGGAAUUUGUAUGGAUCCCGGCACCUUUUCCAAGCGGUAAUGGCCUGCACGGUAGGCCAUUCUGUCCCCCCUUAAACUCCAUUCCAUUAUCUGUCACAUGCAUGAUGCUUUUCCAUGUGAAUUCACAUCUUAAAUAUGUGCUUAGUGCUCUCCUUGAUAAUCUUGAUUGAAAAUAUAUAAAACUCAAAGCAUUGCAUUUGGCCACCACCGUUGUUAAGUGGAGGAAAAGCGGGAUUUUGGUGGCAUUGUUAACAAAAGCUGACUGCCCAGUGGAAGGAGGGAUUGGUGGUGGGUUUAGAAUAAGCCUGCUGGUUAUUCAAAAGAAGGGGGGAAUGGGCUGAUAAGAUCAGCAAAAAAAAUUAUUUUUGCAAAUCUGGGGAGGCCAAAGAGGACCAUGGAUGGGUGAUUAGCUUAGAAUAACACAAAAGGUGUGCAUAUCCAGGCCAUGACACGUCAGACCCAGGUUAGGUGUUGGUAGUGGGAUAGGACAAGCUCUAGCUUUUUAGCUUUGGCUGUUUUUAAUCCAAAAAGAAUGUUUUCAUAUGUUUGCAGCAGAGUAUCUCCUCUCCUUAGAGCCGGAAAUGAAACAUGGAGUAUCUCCUUUUGAGUUUUGAUAUGAGGUAAAGUGUGGUCUUGGCAGGUGCCAUGUGGACCAGUGCUAAAUAGUGGUUGGCUUGCAGCUGUCAAGCUGAUAGCCUGCAACCCCCCUUUGUGGUUACCUGCAUUAAUAUGAUAUCAUUGCUGUGUAAUGCAGAUGGGAAAUUAAACUAACCUGUCAUUUGAAUCAUCAAACCGAAACGUAUACUGAGACCUUUCUAGGCCCUUUUGAUUGCACAUUCCUAUAAAAUUUCUAUGAACGGCUCAACCUAAAUAUGAUGAGGAAUUUGAGAAUGUUGAGGCUAUACCUCAUGGAAACUUUUGGGGAGCAUCCAAACAUCUUUUGAGGUCAAUAAACUUCUUUGUAUUCUUAUGGAAUUGCGCUGCAUUGGCACUCCUAUAUAGUUGCCAUGUUUUUCUUCUUCGAUCUACCUCACUUCAGAGUUGCAAUGCUUUGGUUCUAGAGAAAAUGACCAUAGGUAGAAUCAUUUGGGCUAUUUUUAAUAUAAUUUGUGAAUGUCCAUGCUAUUAGUUGUUACACUCCUAUUAUUUUUAUGUAAACCAUUCAUUUCAAGGGCUCAUACCAUCCUGAAGAUGCUAACUUACUCGGUUGCUCCCAAAUACUCCCUCCGUUCCAAAUUAUAAGAUGUUCAAUUUUUUUUCUUUCUGAAAUCGGAUGUAUAAUGCCCCUGCCUUAAUGUGUUUGUUCACUCAUUUCAGUCCAUAUGUAGUCCAUAUUGAAAUAUCCAAAAAUUCGGAAUGGAGAUAGUACUACAGGGAUGGGGAGAAACCACUUGAGCAUGUCCACAAAAUCUGUACCAAUAACGCAUGAAAUUCGCUUGCAUAUUCAUGCAUGUAGAUAACCAUGGAAAAUAAGAAGAAACAUCCAUUUUAGAAAGAAAAAAACAGAACUUCUUAGCCUGAAUUUCUUUCUACCCAAAUAGCCCUGAAUCAAAGCAUUUUAUGACAGUUCUGCAAAAUUAUUUCGUGAAAUAUGUUCAAGCAUUUUCUCAAGGAAUAUAAAUGUCCGAGUGGUUGAGUGUCUGAAGCCUUGUGAGUGAAGAGGUAAAAGAAAGCUGUUUGAAAUGAUCGCUGCCCGUUCUGGAGCCGAGACCAGGAUGGGGCAAAGCAGUAAAAAAGGAAGAAGCUGUAAAAAGAAGGGUUGCAAAGAAAGAAAGGGGAAAGCCUGGGUGGAUUUUCACCGACGCCGUGGUGUGUCGCUCAUACUGACACGGAAUCUGUAUGGGGCGGAUCGGAGUCCAAGAUGCGCAACGCCGCCUUUAAUCAGGCUCCAAUUGCCGAGGAAAAUCCGCUUUCUCGCCGGGUCCUCUGCGUUUCGCGCACACACAACCCGACCCGUUACAUGUUUUACUCUUUGGACUGGAAGACGAAUCCGCCUCUCCGCCUCCCGUCUCCAAUCUCGAGAAAAAUUCUCUGGUUUGGAUCAGGUACUGCUGCUUUGCUCUUUGGAACAGCGUCUUGUUCCCCGCUUUGCUUUCAGAAAUGGCUGCAGGGAAAAUCGGAAUAGCACCGAAAUUGCAUACGUUUUUUAUGCCUUGAGAACUUGAACGCUAAAGAAAUCUGGAUUCAUUUCUGGACCGCUGAAGGCAUGGGAUUUUGCUUAGUUUUCUAGAGGAGUUUGAGUGUUUCUAUGGAUGGAAGAGAGAUCAGGGAAGGGAUGCGGCUUGCCCAAGAGGGCCAUAUAAUUAGCGAAUUUACGCGAACCCACGAGGAAUAUCCGCGGCCAAUCUCAAGGAUCGAGAGCUCACGCCCUGAGCCAGGGGGAAUGUCUCUUGAGCAGAGCGCUCGCGAAAAUAUUGAAAGGAGAGCAGGAAAAAGAUAAAGGAAAAGGGAUUCCUUUAGCCACUGCUGCUGAAUUUCCAGUUGUUUUCUCUUCUUCCCUAUGUGCGUGGCGCGCGCGACAAAGGAAAAAGAUGCAGCUUGUAUUCUACCGAUAGAAAAACAAGUAAAGAAGAAAAAAGAUAAGUAAAGCCUCGAAUCUGCUAAAGCAUGUGCGGAAAGCUUCCGGUUAGUUGCGUAAACUAGUGUGUGGCCCGUUGUUAUUUUGUUAAGCUAAACUGCGGUACUGAUUCUAACCGGGAAUGUAGUGAUCAGCUGGUAGCUGUCCUAAUAAUCCUCACUAUCUCCACAUUGCUCCUGAAUUUUAACAAAGGUAAUGUAUGUAGUAGGCCUGUUUGGAUGAUUAAUUUCGCCAGAUUCUUUGGGUGCCGAACUGUUUCUGUAAAAACAUGCAAAAUUCGAGUGAAAUCCCUACAUUCUGAAUGGUUUCCUGUUGUUGGCGGAGGAUACGAGAGAUGCCGGAAUCGGGUUUUUGAUGGGCCAGCACGGAGUUGAAGCGAGUGUUUUUUUUUUUUAAAUCUUCUCUGCAAGAUUCCUGCUUGUAAAGGCAAAUGAUUUACCGCUGUUGUAGGUGGGGGGAUACGAAACGAAAUGAAGGAUCCCUUGGCGAAAACCAUGGCGGACGGCCGGGAAUGGGUUGGAUGAGGCCGCACGGAACUUUCCUUUUCGAAAUUUAAUAGCACGCGCGCGCGGUUGGUUCGAUCGAUCGACCGAGCGAGCGAGCGAGUUUUUCCCUUUUCUUUUGCUUCUUUGCCUUCUUCUUUAAAGAAGAAGCGACACAGCUCGUCGACCAAAAAAGCACGGCCCUCCUUGUGCUUGCCGAUGCCCGGCCACUAGCCAGAGCAGAUUAAGCUAAGCGAUUGAGCGGCGCCGGCACCGGCGCUCCGGCCAUGGCCUCGCGCUCCCUCCCACCUUGCCCAUGCUGACCACAUGCUAGUCCACCACCCAGCUCCCGGCCUUCUUCUUCACUCCACUCCGCUACUAGUCCACGUACGUACCCUUCAACCAACGGCUGCGGGGUAGAGAGGGGGAGAGGGACAGGUAGGUAGGCACGUACGUACGUGUGGGUAGGUGCCGAUGGUGACGGCGAGGGAGGCGGCGGCGGCGGCCAUGGACGCGAGCAAGUACGUGCGCUACACGCCGGAGCAGGUGGAGGCGCUGGAGCGGCUCUACUACGAGUGCCCCAAGCCGAGCUCGCUGCGCCGGCAGCAGCUGGUCCGGGAGUGCGCCGUGCUGGCCAACGUCGACCCCAAGCAGAUCAAGGUGUGGUUCCAGAACCGCCGCUGCCGGGAGAAGCAGCGCAAGGAGUCCGGCCGCCUGCAGUCGCUCAACCGCAAGCUCACCGCCAUGAACAAGCUGCUCAUGGAGGAGAACGACCGCCUCCAGAAGCAGGUCUCCCACCUCGUCUACCAGAACGGAUACUACCGCCAGCAGACGCACAGCGUACGCCCUCCUCCACCCCCGGCGCCCUCCACGAUGAGCCCUCCUCCCUUGCAGCCGCCGCGAGCUCACGCCUUUACUCCUCCUCCUCUCCCGUUGCCGUUGCAGGCGGGGCUGGCCACCACGGACACGAGCUGCGAGUCGGUCGUCACCAGCGGCCAGCAGAACGUCGUCGUCGUGCCGCCGCCGCCCCGCGACGCCAGCCCUGCUGGGUACGUUAAUCGUGUUCAGGCCUUGCAGGCCAUGUUCUCUUAUUGCUUUUGUUUUCUUUUCCUAUGUAUAGCAUCUAGUUUCUGUGCGAUAUGUAUGCAUGGAUUUUUACUACUGUUUGUUUCCUGCAGAUUGAUGUCCAUCGCCGAGGAGACAUUAACGGAGUUUCUGUCCAAGGCCACCGGAACCGCCGUCGAGUGGGUCCAAAUGCCUGGGAUGAAGGUCUCUUUCCUCUCAAUUCCUCUCUCUGAACUCUCAACUUCUUGUUUGCAUGGUGUGCUCAAUCAACCAUUCUUGUCUGCAGCCUGGUCCGGAUUCCAUUGGAAUCAUCGCCAUCUCGCAUGGCUGCGCGGGUGUUGCUGCGCGAGCUUGCGGCCUCGUAGGCAUGGAGCCUGCCAAAGUAAGCCCCUUGCUUUCUCUCUCUCUCUCUCUCUCUCUCUCUCUCUCUCUCUCUCUUUUAUUUGACUAUUUCCUUGCUUUCACUUCACUACAUCUCUUCGCUUUUAAUUUUGUUAAAAUCAAAGAGUGUUCCUGACUGUUGCCGACUCAGGUUGCCGAAAUCCUCAAGGAUCGGCCACUCUGGCUGCGUGAUUGCCGGUCUAUGGAGGUAGUAAAUGUGCUGCCUGCUGGCAGCAAUGGCACGAUUGAGCUGCUCUACAUGCAGGUACGAAAUGCUUGGUUAACUCUACCUGUCUACCAUGACACCUUUCAUGAACUUGAGAUUCUUUUUCCAUCUCUAGCUCUAUGCUCCGACGACACUAGCGCCAGCUCGUGACUUCUGGUUGAUGCGGUACACAUCCAUUCUCGAUGAUGGAAGCCUAGUGGUGAGUUGCUAAUCAUCAAACAUUCGUGUCCAAUUAGUAUCAUAGCGUGUUCAUGCGUCAGGCGCUUGACUGUUUUUGCUCUAAAGGUAUGUGAAAGAUCACUCAGUAGUAAGCAAGGAGGCCCAAGUAUGCCCCUUGUCCAGCCUUUCGUUAGAGGUGAGAUGCUUCCCAGCGGUUUCUUGAUCCGGCCUAGUGAUGGUGGAGGUAGCGUGAUUCACAUCGUUGACCAUUUGGACCUGGAGGUAAUAACAAUUCAGCAACAAAUGAUAAACUGUUUCUUUAUCUAGUUCAUCUAUCACAGAAAUUUAGCAAGCUACUUUGUGUUCAUGCACAGCCUUGGAGUGUGCCUGAAGUUGUGAGACCACUGUAUGAAUCUUCUGCCAUGGUGGCCCAGAAGAUGUCGAUGGCGGUACAAUUACAUGGACUAUACUGUUUUUUAUUGCUCUUGAUAACACUUGAUGCUUAGGCAUAAAGGAUUAAUAUUUGGAGUAACUCAAUUUUGCAUAUCCAGGCCUUGCGCUAUCUCAGGCAAGUUGCUCAUGAAGAUACUCAUUCUGUAAUCACUGGAUGGGGCAGACAGCCUGCAGCCUUGCGAGCUCUGAGCCAAAAGCUCACCAGGUUGGGCUCUUGAACAGCACAGGCAUAUUACUUUCAAAAAAAAAAAACAGCAUAGGCAGAUUGUAAUGCUCCUUACCAUGAAUCUGUUUCAGUAAGAGUGUAACUGAUUUCGCACCUGUUUCAGAGGUUUCAAUGAAACUCUCGGUGGGCUUGCUGAUGAUGGAUGGUCCGUGAUUGAGAGCGAUGGCGUAGAUGAUGUUUGUAUCUCCGUUAAUUCAUCCCCGAGCAAAGUGAUGAGUUGCACCGCAACAUUCAGUGAUGGACUACCCAUGGUUAGUACCGGUGUUCUUUGUGCAAAGGCGUCGAUGCUGUUGCAGGUUGGUUUCUUUCCACACUUUCAAGUUUUAUUUCUGGAAAAUGAAUGUGACAUUAACAUCGACUCUGGUAAUGGUUGUAGGAUGUCUCUCCACCGUCACUACUGCGGUUUUUGCGGGAGCAUCGGUCGCGGUGGGCUGAUAGCAGUUUAGAUGCAUUCUUUGCUUCUGCGCUGAAGCCCAAUUUCUGCAAUUUACCUAUGUCUCGUCUUGGAGGAUUUAGUGGCCAGGUUAUACUCCCUUUGGCACACACGUUUGACCCUGAAGAAGUAAGCUCCUGGUCUUCGGUAAAUUAUAAAAUUCCCUGCUCCGUAGUGUCCUCCUGCUCGAUUUUUUAAUCGCACAAUUUCUUCUUUUCAGUUCUUGGAAGUUAUCAAGAUAGGAAAUGCCAGUAACUAUCAAGAUACACUGAUGCAUCGCGAUCUUUUCCUCUUACAGGUAACUUUUGAUUCUUACACUUAUGCAAUAAAUUUUUUUUUUGAAAGGAGGCAAAAGACUUGCCUCAUUCAUUAAUAAAGGAGAGGAUAACAGAGUUUAGCAUGAGUUACACUUAUGCAAAAGGAGGCAAUAAGUUUAUUUAACCACCUAACCGGACCAGAUAACCUGAUGCACAUAUUUUUGAUCAAGUUGCUCAACUGAGCUUUGGGAAAAUCAUUUGUCUCCUUUGUAAAACUUGUGCUCUGGAUUGCAUUGGCAGAUGUACAACGGGAUAGAGGAGAACACCAUGGGCACCUGUUCAGAGCUUAUCUUUGCACCCAUAGACGCAUCUUUUGGUGAUGAUUCCCCGCUGCUGCCUUCCGGUUUUCGCAUCAUUCCGAUUGACUCUCCUCUCGUAAGUGGAUUUCACCUAAAUAUGAGACAACAUCUGAGCUUGCGACUAUAAAUUUAAUCCUCUCUCCCUGCUGCAUGUAUGUUUCGCAGGACACGUCUAGCCCGAACUGCACGUUGGACCUCGCAUCCACCCUUGAGGUUGGAACACCCGGAAGCAGGAUAACCGGUCACUCCAGGAGUGGCUCGAAGGCUGUGAUGACAAUCGCGUUUCAGUUUGCCUUCGAGAGUCACCUGCAGGACAGCGUGGCGGCCAUGGCGCGGCAGUACAUGCGCAGCAUCAUCUCGUCGGUGCAAAGGAUAGCACUGGCGCUGUCGUCCUCGCACCUCGUGCCCCAUGGAAGCUCUCAUCUCGUCCCCCCUGUUACUCCGGAGGCGGCCACGCUCUCCCGAUGGAUUGUCCAGAGCUACAGGUCUGUGCUCUGUGGUCUUGCAGUUAUCAUAGUAUACCAGGGUGUAUUCGGUUAGUUUGUGUUUUGUGCUGAUGCUGCUGGGUUGAUCGUGCAGAUUUCACUUUGGGGCCGAGCUCAUCAAAGCCGCAGACGCUGGCAGCGGCGAGUCGGCGCUCAAAGCCCUCUGGCAGCAUACCAGCGCCAUACUAUGCUGCUCUCUCAAGGUACUGUUCCAGGGUUUUACUCACCUUUGAACAGCUUCUGCUUCCAGCACAUGCUAUGCUGUUGUGGUAUUUCUCCACUGGCUUUGAUCUGACGGCGUCGUGAUGGUGCUGCAGGCGAUGCCGGUGCUGACGUUCGCGAACCAGUCCGGGCUGGACAUGCUGGAGACGACGCUGGCGGCGCUCCGGGAGAUCACCAUGGACAAGGUGCUGGACUACGACCAGGGGAGGAAGAGCCUGCUGUGCGCGGACCUGAUGGCCAGCGUCGCGGAGCAGGGGUACGCGUGUGUCGAGGGCGGGACGUGCGCGUCGAGCAUGGGCCGGCCGGCGUCGUACGGGAAGGCGGUGGCGUGGAAGGUGCUCGACGACGGCGGCGCCGGCGCCGCCCACUGCGUCUGCUUCGCCUUCAUGGACUGGUCCUUCGUCUAGUCGAGGGAUGGACGAUCGUUUGUUGUCGCCAAGUCUCGAGCGAGCAUCAGACCUGAGUGAGAGUAACUUUGUGGGACUGGGUGCGGUGCAAUGUUUGGAUGAUGGUGGUGCUCUGUACGGAUUGAUGGUGUGCCGAGAUUGGUGAUGCUGUUUGCUUGGUCUGUACCGCUUACAUUUCCUCCUUUUUAUCCUCUACUCUAUCUACAAGCAAUGGGUACAACUUAGAAGCGGAUGCUCACACCGCCACAUGUAGGGAUAACAACGAAGCUGGUGGAACUGGCUACCACACCUGUUUCAGUGGAAGCCAAAACGAUCGAGGCGUUUCGGUGUUUGGGCUUAUAAUUGUGGAUAGAAUAUUGAUGCCCGUCCACGCGCACGCAGACGCCUUAUAGUUCGUGUGCUGCCGCUGGGAGCUGCGUGGUGUGCAUCUGGGCGCAUAUAUACUAGAUCGGGAUUGCGCCUCGGCGCAAAGAUGCCGGUCCAAACGCCAGGUUUAGAAUAUGCAUUCACACCGUAUACAUCAUACAAAGAAUAAUGGCCAAGGUAACAAUAUUUACAAUCCACUCAGUAUAUACCGUAAAAGAAAAUCCAAGGACAAUCUAUAUACAGUUGUACUCAGCCAUCAACCGUAUUAUCAACUUUAACAAUAAGCUUGUAGUAUCAACUUUAACAAUAAGCUUAUCAAAAUUAAAAUGGCCUAAGUAAGCACUGGCCCUCAUCCAAUACAUAAAAUCCAUAGCAUAGAAAGCAUCACAAGCAUAGAAAGCAUAUCUUUGUCAGCCGAGCAACCAGAUUUAAGCAAAGUAAUUUUUUCACUCAUUAUUCUGUCAACCGUGAUAAAAAUAAAAAACUAAUGAAGAAUCAUUCAGAAGUAAGAUUUGUUUGUAUGCACACAAUAAGGAGCCACCUAACAAUGUACGAACAUGAAAGCACGUAGCACAAUAGGUUUAGUAGCAAAUAUCACAGGCAUAGGACGUUAGUGAAGUGCACUGUAGGUCCUUGAACUAUUCUAGGGAUGUCACGUAGGUCCUCAAACUAUGAAAAUCGUCAUCUAGGUCCUCAAAGUGCAGUAAGUGUGUCAUUCAGGUCCAAAAUCUCCCUGACAGGCUCUAACUGGCCAGCUGGCACAUAAACAGUAACCGUAACAGUACGCGGCAAACAGUCCUGAAUUCCCGUGCGUGAUGAACAGUACACGACAAAGAAUAAAUAUAAAAAAAUAUCAAAAAACUGAGAUCCUCUGUCAUCGAAGAGACCCUGGCGCGUGAACAGUAAAAAUGUCAUUAAUUCAAAAAAAGUUCGCGAACGAUGAAUUUGGAAAAAUAUUUGUGACUUUAAUAAAAUGUUCGCGAAUGAUGAAUUUGGAAAAAAAUAUUCGCGACUUCAAAAAAAUAUUCGUGAGUUUAGAAAAAGUUCGCGAAUGAUGAAUUUGGAAAAAAUAUUCACGACUUUAAAAAAAUGUUCGUGAACGAUGAAUUUGGGAAAAAUAUUCGUGAGUUUAAAAAAAGUUUGCGAACGAUGAAUUUGGAAAAAAUAUUCAUGACUUUAAAAAAAUGUUCACGAACGAUGAAUUUGGAAAAAAUAUUCGUGACUUUAAUAAAAUGUUCGCGAACGAUGAAUUCGGAAAAAUUAUUUGCGACUUUAAUAAAAAGUUCACUAACAUUUUUUAAAGUCAGGAAUUUUUGUGGUUCGCGAACAUUUUUUUCCAUACCCACGAACAAUAUUUGUGGUUCGCGAACAUAUUUUCAAAUUUAUUGUUUGUGAACUUUUUUAAAGUCGCGAAUAUUUUUCCCGUAUUCGCGAACAUUUUUUUGAAUUAAUGAACAUUUUUACUAUUCACGCACCAGGGGUAUCUUUGAUGCCAAAGAUUUUCAGAUUUUUUUGUUCAGAUUUUUUUAUUUUUCACACUGUUCACCAUGCCAGCUGGCCAUUUAGAGGGGGUUAGUGAGAUUUUGGACCUGGAUGACACACUUACUGUACUUCGAGGACCUAAAUGACGAUUUUCAUAGUUCGAGAACCUAUAUGACACCCCUGAAAUAGUUUAAGGACCUACAGUGCACUUCACUCAAAGCACAUGGUAGCUUACAGACGAUCCACAACUUUGCAUGCCUUGGGCAUAAUGUAGACCAGGAGGAAUGACAACACGACGCGUUCAUACUGAUUGGUCCUCCAAGAUCCAAUGUAGAGGUGUUGAAAAAGAUGGUCACACAGGUCUUGCCGUUCUCAUGUACAACACGAUUAUACUGAACCGGUGAUUAGCCCAAGGUCAAGAAAUGUCCUGUGUGGGAUCCUAAACACUCGCUUGGUAUCCUGCAGCGACGUUAAGUCUAUCGGUUAAUCAGAUUGUCAUCGAGCAGAGCAUUUUUAAAAACAACGGGGUUAUUAAUCAGUUGAAAAUACAACUUGUUUUAGUAAGAGCAGUCGAUAAGGUAAGAUCAAUAUGAUCACCUUCAAAGACAAAAAUCUAAUUAGCAGUAGAAUGCUUGCGCUUUCUAAACAAAAUACAUCUACAUAGAAGGCCUAGACAACAUCUAAUCAAUCGAGGAGACACCUACAGAGCUAUUAACUACACAAAGAGCACAUCAAAGAAAUAGAGUUAAAAUCAUCACACUGCCUGGAUCUAAAUAUCACUAUUUCUUUACUACUAUCUGCCAGCAUCAAUAAUCCCUAGAUCAGAUGUGUGUUUCUUUGCAGAGUUAGCAAUGUUUACAUCUGUGAGUACUUAUUUUGAUUAUAAAAAAUCCCGAGUCACACACUCAUCAUAUUUUUGCAACCGUCCAGUAAAAUCAGAGACGGGACAGGAUGGGUUUCACCUGACCUGUGCAAGCACCCGUAGACGGCUGUUAGUGGAGCCAGCGGAACCUGACGUGCCAUGGACAUCGAGCUCUUCGUCAGCCAUCGCCAUUUGAACAGAACAUGUGGAUACAAGAAAUUACUCAGAGGCGGGCACACAUUUAGAGUUCAAAAGGAAAACAAACCAUGUGUCCAUUAAUGAGGACCGACCUGGUCGGUGGAGCCGAGCUGCGAAGGGAGAAUCGAGAUAGAGGGCUUGUCCGGGCACCAAGAGCUCUAUCAAUGGGGAAACUCCGCAAUUCGGUCUUUUUCCUCUGGUGAGUUCUGCGCCAUCCUUAAAUGAUUCAUUAGCAGCUACCAAGAAACGAUCUGCAGAAAACAAAAUCAAAGUGAAAUCAAAUGGAAUCACAUGCAGGAAGCAAUGAAGUACUAUACAUGCAAAAAAAAAUCCAUGAGGAAGGAAGGGAGCCCAAUGGAUUAUCAUUUUAUUCCAAUAAUUAAUUAAAUAACAUUAUCUGCCCCAUCAUAGGAGCACAAGAUGUGUACAGGGCAACAAGAAUAACUCUCAUCAAAUGGCACUAAGGAGAGCUAAUCAGAUAGAAUACACAUACGUUAAAUGAUGGUAUGAAGCAAAAGGGAGCCAAAUGAAAUUUUUCUACUUACACAUUAUAUAAACAAUCGAGGCACGCAUAUGCAACCUCAAAUUCAGAACACAAAGAAAAAAAAAGUGCAGCCACCUAAUGAGAAUAACCAUGACAGAACGCAUACAUCUCACCAAGCAAAGAACUGGUUGUGAACUUGAGGCCAAUUCAUAUAAGUUCCCAUUCAAACAUUUCUGUAAUUGAACUACUUCUCCUAUCUUCAAACCACACACUUCCUGAAGCUGCAAUUAUAGAUGCACUUGCAGCAGAAGUGAAUAUUGGAAAGCAUGGCAAAUCUGACAUAUAAUUUAAAUCAAACAUUCAUGUAGUUAUUAAAUUAGUGCUUCUCAUGACGCAGUAGAAAUAAAUAGUCCAUGUCUCUGUUUUAUAUUGCGGUUAUAUAGUAUGCUUCGUCAGUUUUAGAACCUAAGCUAGUCUUCCAGAUUGCUUAUUAGCUUAGGCACUCCUGUAUUUUUCUCACUGCUUGCUAUACUUCUUUUUAAUAUAUUUUUUGGAAGGAUCAGUAUUAAACAAUAAAUGAAAGUACACUUGCUCCUGCAGUGAAGCAAAUACUGCUGCUCGAUGUUUCUUUUCUAGCUUAAAUAUAUUUUUGGUGUGAAUAAACUAAAUUUGUUAUUUAUUUUACAGAAACAGUAGAGGAUAUCCAUAUAGAGCAAGACAAGUAAAGUUGCUGAUCUGAGAUAAUAUGUGCAUAAUCUGGAAAUGCAAAAUAUCAUAAGUCAUCAGGUUGUUUCCUGACUAACAGACUACUAUUUUUCUCACACAGCGAGUCAUUUUUUUGGUGUGAAUUCCAUUCAAUGAAAGAAUUUAGAAGGCUUAGCUAUGUUGUAUAUGCACUACUCAGUUUAUUUCAAAAAAAGAAAGAAAAAUUAUGGUUGCAUGGUGGAUCACACAAAUCAAAUAGAUAAUGGAAAUGGUGAAUCUUGGCAGGAAGGGUACUAACCAGUCCAGUAGCCAUGGAUGAACUUCUGUAGGGAUGUGCAAUCAAAGUGAAUUCUUGUACCUGUAAAAUAUAUCACUCAAUAAAAAGAUGGGAAGUGAAAUAACAUUGAGAUCACAUUUGCGAAGCUAAUCAGAUACUCCAUCUGCUCAAGUACUUAAAUAUGUACUCCCACCGUUCCUAAAUAUAAGUCUUUGAAGAGAUUUCACUAUGGACCACAUACGAAUGUAUCUAGAUGCAUUUUAGAGAAAUCUCUACAAAGACCUAUAUUUAGGAACGGAGGGAGUAUGUCAUAAUUAUGACUAUUGCAGUGCUUGAUAUUCUUUAAUCAAGAUAUAACCAUGUAUUCUGAGAUCAAAUUGUACGGGGAAGUGUUCAUAACAACAUAAGCACAUGGUAUAUGUGUGUAUAUAAAUAAAGUCUGACACAAGAGCAUACAUGAUAAAGUAGAGAAGAUGUGCCAACAAGAUUAACAGGUCACUCCAUUUAAAAGUCCUCGACUGAAACGACUACAAAUGCCAGUAAAAAUAUUAGUGGAACAAAUCCAGUCACGAAAUGGAGCACAUGCAGGAUGGGGAUCAGAUGCAACCUACCCCCUAAACCAGAACUGCUUCACCAGAUGUGGUGGCAUAAAUCUUGCUCUAUAUGUAUCACGAGAGAGAGAGAGAUCGAGAGGGGUGGGAUGCAGGGAGUGGCUGACCUUGAGCGGUAGUGGUUGUGGUGGCCGUGCCGGCGGCGACACAGCUUCACCGGAGCAGUUUCACUGGAAGAACAACCAUGGCGUCAGGCAGAAUCGCCUCGGGCACGGACCCCUUUUCCCCUCGCUAAGAGCAGAUAAGAACAUGUAAAGGAAGUAACAAACAUAUAUACUAUAAGAACAUGUAAAGGAAGUAACAAACAUAUAUACUAUAAGAGCAGUUUAAUCAAUCCUAAUUAGGUCUCUGUGAAUGUUUACUCUCAAUUAAAAUUUUAAACAAGGUCACAUUAAUUCGGUUAAUUUAGAAUAAUUAGAGAAACCACAUAACCAAUUGGAGCUAGAUAUAUGCAUCAAAAAGGCCUGAUUACCUAUACUACAAUCAAAAGUAUCAUAUACUGUUAUAGAUUUGCUAUACCUGGGCGUGUAGAGGAGCAGAGGCGGAGCUCCUUCUUGUGUGUGUGUCGGAUCUCCUCAUCCAAGGCCGAUGGUUGCGAGCUCGCCAAUCAAACCCUGGGUCAGGGCCAUGGGAGGUGGAGGCGAGGCAUGCCGGCCAAGAUUUUUAAAAGGGAACAUAAAGCAGCAUGAGCAUGAGGCGUAGAAAAAUGGGGUCACCUUAAGAUCAAGAAACAGUGGCCUUCUCCUAGUUCAGAUCAGAAGGAAAGAACCACUAUUAUUGAUUAGAGUUAUUCUUAAUUAGGCAAAGCACUACAACACGGGAUCCUAAGCUAUAAUUGAGGCAUACAAAACUAUAAGUGUCUAUUUUUUCAUAUAUAAACAACCUUUAGUAUCUCAACCAGAACCAAAGCAAAAAAAGUCAUGGUUAAGUAACCGGCAAAGGAAGAAUGAACCUUUUGGACUUUUAAAGUAGCAAGAGAUGAAAAGUUCUUUUUUGCCUUCAAUAUUACACACAGUAGGGGAGGUAGCUGCUGUUUUAUUGCACAAUGGGCUCAGAUUCGCCUUUCCUCGAUCAUAUAACCUACCCCCAUAAUCUCUUAUCACCAGAUCAAUCUGUUUAUACAGUAGAGCUGCCCUGGUUAUCACUCAACAAGAAUGACCAUCCAAGGACAACAACAAGUAUCACAGGAUCAAAAAGGAUUCUAGAGACAAGAGGGAGGAUCCAACUUGAUGCCCACAGGUGCCUCGACUGCUCAAAGGCACACUUAUUUCAGCGACGGUUAAUCAUCAUCGCCCUAGCAAGAAUGGCUUCCGACCGAUGGGGCACGUGAUACACACGCGGUGGCAUGAGAUAUCUCACCGUGGGAGUAACUUUCAUUGCUACAGGAGCUCGGUCUCGAUCCAACGGCCGAGAUCAAUCCAGAGCGAGAUCCGAGGAUCAGAAUCACAUCAGGAAAUCGAUCCGACGAGCGAAAGUGCCUGAGCUCCGAGCAGCCAGGGAACUUGCCGCGGGUCUUAUUUCUGGAUGGAUCACCAGAUCAAUAUGUUCUUACGAGGGUGAAACUGCCCUGGUUAUCACUCAUCAUAAAUGACCAUCCAAGGACAGAGCCACUAAAAUAAGAACGUGAUAAAAACGGCCGAAAGAAACGAGGGAGGAUCCAAAUUAAUACCCACAAGUGCCUCGAUUGCUCGAGAGCAUGCCUAUAUCAGCCAUAACUAAUCAUCAUGACCCUGGCCAUGUCCCAUACAGUAGCCAAAGCAGCCGAAGCAGAGCAGGGGAAAAUGGAGCUCACCAAGGGAGGUUGUAGCCGAGGCAGUACUCAGUGGGCGUCGGGGUUGCGCCUGAACGCCGUCCAACCUGCGAGGAACCACGUCAGAGUUGCGCCUUGCACCGUCCCGCCAAUGAGUACGAACGCCACUGGCACUGAAGCGGCCAAGGAGACGAGUAGGCGGAGAAGACCGGGGCGUAGUCAAUUCUCUUUUAGCUGCAAUCAAGGAUACGAUUUGCUAGAACAUUCUUGUGGUCAAAACUUAUCAUCAUGCAAGCAAUAAUGGGCCUAUCUAUUAGCUUCUUGUAGUGCCAAAGGUAAAAUCAAAAGGCCUUUUACUGCCACCUUACAUCGAGGCAGUACAACUACAGUGGUUAUAGUCUCAGGUCAAAGCAUUAGUAAGCACAUGACCAUAAGUACGUGACAGCUAACAAAAUUUUAAAUGUAAGGGAAAAAACAGAGAUUAUGUCAGUUGUGCCAUAGUACCUCAUUGGCCGCUGGAUGGCAAGUGGCACUACCGCCAGAGACACGAAGAGGACCAGCAGGGCAUCGAUUAGUUGGAACACGCCAAACUGUAAUAGAAAGUUAAACUUUGCAAAUCAGGUUCCUACAAAAGUUAACUUUACAAAGCAACGAACAAUAUGUGCUAGUAUAUUCAAAGUAUUAAAAGGUGAAAGAAAUAGAUAACAGAUAAAUCACAAAACUGGCAGAACUAUUUGCCAACUAAAAUAUAAAUAUCCUAGCUAUGCUUAAAUAUCCUGCUGGCACAAUCAGUUUCUGAUCAAUGGUGUAUUUCAAAGCAAAAAAAGGCAGGGAAAUGCUAUAAUAGAAUUAUGGCUCCAGAAAAAAAUACUGGCCAACUAAUAGAAAUCAAAGGAUAACUACAAGUGAUGCAUCUAAAGAAAAUAUGACAUCAAAUAUUGGCCAAUUAAUAGAUCAAAGUAUGGCUCAACACAAUAACAAAAAUCCACUCAUAUACUUCCAUGCCAACCUAAAAGGAUUAAGAUGUCAAACGGUCGAAAGAAAAUCCUACAGUUUUGCAAUGCAAUUUUUUUGCUGACUCACGAUAUAAUGAUAUGUGAAGCUCUAAUGUAAGUUCAGAACAUACAUAAUUUAGUGCCUCAAAGCUACAGUUUAUAUGUGCUUGUUGGUGCCUCCAUUGUCAUAGAAGCCUCUCGUUAUUGACACCACUCUUGAAAGACGCAGCCAGACCCCCAUUGCACUACUGCCAAAGUGUCUUUGUAUAUUGUGCUAACUACACUUGAAGCUUGAAGACAAAAUACAUAUAUCUCAGGCAAUGUAACAAUCUGUCCCAAGAGAUUGUGGUUAGCCAAGAUCAAUUCAAGGCACAUAUCAUAUAAAAAAUAAUCCUACAUUACUUCAUGAUCUCUUAGGCCAUUUCCAUAUUAUUUAAAAUCAACAAAUUGUGACGCACGGAUAAUCAAGCUACACUAACCUCUGCUAAUAAUGCCACGUUACCUCGAUUACUGUUGCUAAUCUCGCGUUAGUUCGAAACCGAUUCAAAUUCAAUUUCAAAAGAAAAGCAAACAACAAAAGUUUUCAAAAAUUAAAACUAAAAUGUUCGGGUUGUUUCAAAUAAAUCGUAAGCAAUUAUGGUGGAGAAACCAAGCUUUUAUAAAAUGCUUAAAUGAACUAUAAGGAUUUAAACAGUAGCAAAAGCAAUUAAUUAAAUGCCUUUUACAAUUAAUAAAUUACUAAACUAUUUUAUUUUGUCACCAAACUUUUUGUGGCAUUGGGGUAUUUUGUAACACUAAUUUAGGUACUACUUGUAUAUUUUAUAAAACAAAAAUAUAUAGAAAAUAAAAUAGAAAACUAAUAAACAGAAAACAAAUAAAUACAAAAAAGGGCCUAGGCUACUGAUGAGGACUGGGCCUAAGUGCACAGUGCCUGGAACCCAGCCCACCACGGCCUCCUCCUCCUCCCCCCUGUUCGCUGUUCAAGCGACCGAGGCGUGCCCGCCGUCGCCGCCGAACCCACCUCGUCGACCACACCGCUACAGGCGUCGCGGGUGGAUAAAGAUCCACCUCUCCUUCCCCUCGGCCUCCCCUCAAUCCCUAUCCACUCUCCCUCCCUCGCCAUCGCUCGCUCCGCCCCUCCUCUCCUCCAGAUCCGCGGCCCGAGCGCCCUCGCCGCCGACCUCCGUCGUUGCCACGGCCACCGACGGCCCCGUGCCUGCUGGCCUUGUCCACGGGCCUCGCCGCGGUCGGCAACCUCUCCUGGUGCCACCAGGUGGAGAUGUGGAGCCCCGCUGCCUCCGUUCGCCUUCGUCCACAUCUCUGGUCGCUGCCGCUCAUCCUCGGCUCUGACGACGUCUCUGCAACUCCUAAACCACCAGGGGCCAUCGUGUGAGCCACUCGGUGAGCUCCACCCCUUUCCUCUCCCCGUCCUAGCUCCGUUUACGUGCCGCAUCAAGCUGUGCACGAUGCGCCGCCACUGCCGCACCCUGACUCCGCUAUCGAGCUCGCAGCCAUCACGGUAGGGCUCGUCCCGGUCCGCCGAGCUCACCAACAAGUUCGUGGCUUCGAGUAGUCGCCGUAGGAGUAGCGCGCCGCCCAUUUUGGCCUCCGUUUCAUCGCGCGCGAGUUCGCCGUGCUUCGGGUCUCCGCCAUCCCUGUCGCCGGCGGCGGCUCCGGCCAUCACAGCUCGCGUGGCCACCCGCAUUGGAUGCGGCGUUGCUCACUCGUUCGAACGUGCCAACGCACGGGCCAAAUGGCCCCCUAUACGUGGAUUCCGGCGAGAUCCCGAGCGCCUCUGCCGUAUUUUCGGUCCCCGGCGUUUAACCGCCGGCCACCAUCGACGUGGCACACCUGGGGCCACCCCUGGGUCACUGCCAGUGGGGCCCCUGGCCUCCUGUUGACCAGUUGACCCGGUCAACUUUGCUGACUGUGCACUCAGUGCCACUGACACACGCCCCCCGCCUUUUUAACCUAAUUAAAACGUUUUCCUAAAUAAAGAUAAUUAGCUAAACUAAUGAGUCACUGACUAGUGGGGUCCAAUCACUAAUUAUUCUGUUUAAAUUAAAAUGAAUUGUUGUUAGCCCACUGCCAAUGACAGGUGGGACCAAUUGGCCAGUUUGACCAGUCAGCGGGUCUGUUGACCUGCUGAUGUCAUGCUGACACUCUGUUGACGUCAUAAUUCAUUUCUGUUAAUUUAAAUAAUUUCUGAAAAUGGUUUAAUCUUUAGAAAUUCAUAGAAAUUAACCCGUAAGUCGGAUGAAAAUGUUUUCUAUAUGAAAGUUGCUCAGAAAAAUCCAAAGAAUCCGAAUACGCGGUCCGUUCAUCCGUCACAUGCCCCUAGCAUGCUGAACGUGGGACUUUCCCCCUCCGGUCAUUUGUCUAACACAGGUCCGGAACCGGGAAAACAUUCCCGGUUGACUUCCCCCCUCGCCGGUAUCGUGUAGCACCACGUUAGAACACGCCUAGCUCUGCUGGUUAUCCUGUUAUGCUAUGUUUGCUUUAUAUUUACUAUUUCUUCCCCCUCUUCUCUCCAGUAGACCCCGAGACCGAUGAUGCCCCUGUGAUCGACUACGUCACCGACGACCCCUCCUUGCCAGAGCAACCAGGCAAGCCCCCCCCCCUUGAUCACCAGAUAUCGCCUAUUCUUCUCUAUACUGCUUGCAUUAGAGUAGUAUAGCAUGUUACUAUUCGGUUACUCCUAUUCUGUUGCAUAGCCUGUCAUUGUUGCUACAGUCAUUGAUACCCUACCCGCAAUCCUAAAUGCUUAGUAUAGGAUGCUAGUUUAUCAUCAUUGGCCCUACAUUCUUGUCAGUCUGCCUUGCUACACUAUCGGGCCGUGAUCACUUGGGAGGUGAUCACGGGUAUAUACUAUACAUAUAUACAUACUAUACAAAUGGUGACUAAAGUCGGGUCAGCUCGUUGAGUACUUGCAAGUGAUUCCGAUGUGGGGGCUGGAAGGACAGGUGGCUCCAUCCCGGUAGAGGUGGGCCUGGGUUCCCGACGGCUCCUGACUGUUACUUUGAGGCGGAGCGACAGGGCAGGUUGAGACCGCCUAGGAGAGAGGUGGGCCUGGCCCUGUUUGGCGUUCGCGGAUACUUAAUAUGCUUAACGAGAUCUUGGUAUUUGAUCCGAGUCUGGCUACUGGCCUAUACGCACUAACCAACUACGCGGGAAUAGUUAUGGGCACUCGGCGUCGUGGUAUCAGCCGAAGCCUUCGUGAUGUCAGCGACUGAGCGGCGCGCGCCAUAUUGGACCGCGUAACGUGACUUCCUUUGUAAUGGAGGUUGCUAGAUCUGCUUCCAGCCGCGUACGCAACGUGCAGGAGUGCAAUGGGCGAUGGGCCCAGACCCCUGCGUGCAUAGGAUUUAGACCGGCGUGCUGACCUCUCUAUUGUGCCUAGGUGGGGCUGCGACGUGUUGAUCUUCCAAGGCCAGGCAUGACCCAGGAAAGUGUGUCCGGCCAAAUGGGAUCGAGCGUGUUGGGUUAUGUGGUGCACCCCUGCAGGGAAGUUAAUCUAUUCGAAUAGUUGUGAUCUUCGGUAACAGGACGACUUGGAGUUGUACCUUGACCUUAUGACAACUAGAACCGGAUACUUAAUAAAACACACCCUUCCAAGUGCCAGAUACAACCCGGUGAUCGCUCUCUAACAAGGCGACGAGGAGAGGAUCGCCGGGUAGGAUUAUGCUAUGCGAUGCUACUUGGAGGACUUCAAUCUACUCUCUUCUACAUGCUGCAAGACGGAGGCUGCCAGAAGCGUAGUCUUUGAUAGGACUAGCUAUCCCCCUCUUAUUCUGGCAUUCUGCAGUUCAGUCCACUGAUAUGGCCUCCUUACACAUAUACCCAUGCAUAUGUAGUGUAGUUCCUUGCUUGCGAGUACUUUGGACGAGUACUCACGGUUGCUUUCUCCCCCCUUUUCUCCCUUUCCUUUCUUUCUGGUUGUCGCAACCAGAUGCUGGAGUCCAGGAGCCAGACGCCACCGUCGACGACGACUCCUACUACACCGGAGGUGCCUACUACUACGUGCAGCCCGCUGACGACGACCAGGAGUAGUUAGGAGGAUCCCAGGCAGGAGGCCUGCGCCUCUUUCGAUCUGUAUCCCAGUUUGUGCUAGCCUUCUUAACGCAAACUUGUUUAACUUAUGUCUGUACUCAGAUAUUGUUGCUUCCGUUGACUCGUCUAUGAUCGAGCACUUGUAUUCGAGCCCUCGAGGCCCCUGGCUUGUAUUAUGAUGCUUGUAUGACUUAUUUAUGUUUUAGAGUUGUGUUGUGAUAUCUUCCCGUGAGUCCCUGAUCUUGAUCAUACACAUUGCGUGCAUGGUUAGUGUACGAUUGAAUCGGGGGCGUCACAAGUUGGUAUCAGAGCCGACUGCCUAUAGGAAUCCCCCUUUCCAACUCCUUGGCCGAAGUUGAGUCUAGUCGAUGAAAAUUGUUUUACUAACUUGGCUGUGCGGCCCAUGGGCCCAUGUCGCCAAUUGGGUAGUAUUAGGAUCUUUUAUUCCUCGACCUAUACUCUGGGACUCUAAUCUCUCCUCUAUUCGGGUUAAAUGAUUUUCUAAAAAUCUAACUUUAGGUUCUCGAAAAUACUUUCUCCCGGAGAGCCCCUCACUCCCGAUGAUCGUUUGUUACACCAGAAGAUUCCGAAGAUACUCGCUGAAGUUCUCUCGAGACUUUGUGCCCACUUCUUUUGCAAUUCCCUACCACCGAUAAAUCCUUAUGGAUAACUUAUUACCCUUGCCAUUCUUACAUUCAUCCCUAGCUGCUCUUGUUAUUACAAGAUGCAUCGAAUUGUUCUUCGACUUUUAAGAAUCUUUUGAGCCAUUGCAUUGCAAAUCUUUGCCACAUGAAUACCCCCUAUGGAUAACUCCUCACACUUACCGAGUAUCCAUUCUUUCAACAUUGUUCAUGUGUUCCACAGUGGUCUUCGAAAUACUAUUUGAUACUCCAAAAAUCCUUAGUAGCUUAUUGCUCUGCAAUACUUGUCUGCUUGCAUUUUGGAUGCUUUCCAUAUGUCUGGCAAUAUUCGUUAGUAUCCUUAGGCACCGUCAUUUUGAUCCUAUUGAUUCAAAAUGAGUGCGAAUGCAUGCAAUCAUCAGUUGAUCCUUUUAAAUUAUCUUUCCGACUCAGACGUCACUUUAAACAUGAGCUUGAUCUCGACCAAUCAAAUUGUUGUCGAUUUUACCCCUAAGCUUACUCAACUUAUCCAUCCUUAAUCAGAGCGUUUGCUUCUGAUCCUUUGAUUUGGUAAUCAUAAUUCCUUUACAUGUGAGCUUUGAAUUAGUAAGUUGCUUCUAUAAUCCAAUGCCUUCGCAUUGUUUCUUCCUCUGGUUGUGUGCCGAUACUCACAUCAGUUUCACUAAGGACUGUCGGAUCCUUUGUUGAAAUAUCAUUCGACAGUGUCCUUCAUAUACAAAAACCUCGAGAAGUUCUUUCCCUGAUACAUAAUGCCUUAGGUAAAUUGUAUCCUCUGUUUUUGUCAACCAUGCUCUACUAUCGAGCUUGUGUUAGUUACUAUUGAAGCUUGUGGUAUAUGUUUCCACGAUACCCUGAUGGGUUGAACCUAUGCCUUCCUUAAUAUGUGGGAACUCGAAAGUUUUCACGAGUCAUACUCAUCUGGUAUUACACCAGGUAAAGCUUUCAACACUAAUGCCUUUAUCAAAGCGAGAAGUGAAUGGGAGGUUAUACAUUGAAGAAGUGGGAGUCGACCUUGAACCUUGCGUUCAUGCCCAUGGACACGAUGUAUAACUUAUCAUGGAAGCUACUCGUAAAAAUAGUUACCCCCUUGUUAUAAGUUCAUCCUGUAUCCAUGGUUCGAUCAUUUAUGAUCGAGGUUUUCGACCAUGUUCUUCUUUAAAUACCAUUUCUCAUGCAAGUUUAAGCACUUGUCUUCUGUAGAGUAAUACCCCAGUCCAACCUCUACUUUGCUUUGUCCUCGAGUAUUACCCCCCAGGUAUCUCAAGAUUAUCACGGAACUGCAUAACUUCUUAUGAGUUCUUCAUCAAGUGCUACAUUCUCAUUGAUUCCAAUUUUUCACGGGCUCUGAGUUAUUUAACACUCAAAGACACCGAUAAUCGACACGAGUCUGCAUCGCGAUUAAGCAACUCUUGGUAACCUUCAUUACUUACGAGUUUGAAUUCCAUCACAUCAUUCCUAGCCUGUUUGUCUAUAUCCUUGUCGUGCCGAUUUUAACUGUGCUACCUGGUCCUCUUCCCAGAGCAUAAUUUUUGACGAUGAGCUAAGCUUACGUCGAUCUUUCCUCAUCAUAUCAUUUCGCUUUGGACAACAAGCUUGCUUUGGGGUUUGUGUCCUAACCGUGGUUCCAAUAACCUUUCGCUUCAUCAUUCGUUUGACUUGAUGUCAUCGUCGAUCAAUUACAUCUUCGUGUAACCUCUCGACAAAUGUGUCGUGAUCAUCAUCAACCUUAUGAGCUCUUCCAGGAUAUCAAUCGGAUUCAUGAUGAGAAAUACAUCCUUGCCUCAAUGAUUUGUGUUAUCAUCAACCACUAUACUGCCUUCCCUCCAACACAAAUUUGUUCGUGUUUUGUGUUAUACCUUCAGUUCCUUGCUACCCAACAUUGUUCUUCUUUACCUUGGAAUAUUACCACCUUUUAUGUCAAGAAUAUCGUGGGAAUUUCACCACCUCUUAAGAAUUCUUGGUAUGGUGAUACUUCUCACCAUCACCAUUCUUUCUUGGGUCCUCGUGUUGAUUCCAACCAAGGUACCAACAAGUGAGCGGUGCUGUUUGGAUUCCGCCCUUUUAGCAACCCUAUUGCUUUGAAGUUAAUGGUCGGCCGUUCAUUCUUAAACUAUUGAUAAUUGAAUCACCAUUCCAAUGUUGGCCGUGCAACCCGGCCCAUAUUCCGGGUGCACCUUUCAACCAUUGUUAAAUUGUGUAUGUUUUCCUCAAGCAUACAUCAAUAUAUCAUUUUGAUCUAACAAAUGUUAUCUCCUUGUUCACAUAAUUGUGGAAAUCCAUCCUUUGGAAAUUUUGAUGAAUUGUCGUUGAGUUCAUCAGCCACCUCCUUGUCCUCUCCUUGGGUUAAUGAUGAACUCUUGUUAACGGAAAUUACUUCAUAGUUCAUUUCCUGAGAAUCUUACAGUGUCAUCCCGUCAAUUUGUGUUGCACCUUUCUUCUCAGGCAUCCCGAGUCUGAGGUAUCCUGACACCAAUCAGAUCUGAAUCUUGGUCAGAUAUGAUGGUUGGAACAUUUUCCAAGAGUCAGAACAUUGGUCUUUAUAUGACCCGGUAAGGUGAUGUCAUGCCUAGCACACCUGGCCGGAGGACCAAUUGUUAUAGUUUCCAUCUUAGCAAGGUUAACCAUUCUUCCAUGAGGAAAUUGUGAAACUUAUUUUAUAAGUUGUUCCUGAUGAAUCCUUUGUAUAUCCAAGUCUGACCUUUGCUUGAAGACCAUGUCAAUGCUAUCUCGAAGCAUGUCUAUGGUACUUCGAUUUUCAACAAAAACAUUUGAAGCCCAAAGCUAAAUGUUUCUUGCCUAGUUAUCCAAACACCGUUGUAUGGGUAACAUCUUGAUUAAUCCUUGCCUCUUUUCUGAAUGGUUGGGUACUUGCUCACCUACCCUGUAUGCCAUGUUCUGCUUGUACAUGGAAAGGAUAUUGUCCUAAUAAUUGUGUGUAAUCAUAAAUUUUCUUUCCAUUGUUCUGUUUAAUCUGAUAAUCACGUUUUCCUUUCCAUUCUUUUUUUAGCCUUUCCUGUAAUCCGACUUAACUAAGUAGAGAUAAUUCCCUUCUUAGGUAAGCACCUUGUUGUACCGCUCUGUCUGUAAGACCCUGUUACUAUUGUUGAUGACAUUCCGGUAACCAUCGAUGGACGAGAACUUUGCCUAUUGGUCCGCCUCGUUCAAUGAGCAGGAAAAUGGUUCUCUUCAUCCCUCGCCUUUGGUAUCACUGUUGUUGCCGACAUAACUGAUAGGCUACCCUCUGACAUACCUUGCUUGCAUGAUCACGCAAGACGUCUCCGCCCUUAAUACUUUUAACCCACAUGGUGGGCCCAUAACCCACAGUUCCACAGGAUCGAAACCUGACUCUCCUGUACACCCAUGUUCCUAAAGCUAAUCCUCACGCUUGGCUUCGUAUGAGAGAUCACGAACCACCUUCCUAGUGAUCUAUUCUGGUAUCAGACACAUUGCUUAUUCCCGUUGCUCUGAACCCCUUUCACGCCUUGUAACAGGCAUCAAAUGAUUGCCUGCCCGCUCGAAACUUCCCAUGAUACCUCCUUACUUUGCUCUCGAUACUUUCUUAAGUUUCAAUUCGAGAGUUACUUCCCACCACCUUCGUCGAUGUUAUUGACCAGAUAGUUAACCUUGCAGAGGUUCGUUCCCCCGGAAUACCCACCCUUUAUUCUUUUGAAAGUACGAUGGAAUUCCCGAAGAAAGGAUGCCAACUUCAUCAUGAUGACCUAAAGCAGAGAAAUGAAUACAUCAACGAAAAGGAUCGACCACUUCAAGAAGAGCAACCAAGAACGAGAAGAUUCGUUAGAAUUCCGUAACCAGACCUUACCCCCUAGUUCCCCUCUUAAAUCUCGGGAUGAGAUUUCUUGUAGUAGAGGAGAAUUGUGACGCCCGGAUAAUCAAGCUACAGUAACCUCUGCUAAUAAUGCCACGUCACCUCGAUUACUGUUGCUAAUCUCGCGUUAGUUCGAAACCGAUUCAAAUUCAAUUUCAAAAGAAAAGUAAACAACAAAAGUUUUCAAAAAUUAAAACUAAAAUGUUCGGGUUGUUUCAAAUAAAUCGUAAGCAAUUAUGGUGGAGAAACCAAGCUUUUAUAAAAUGCUUAAAUGAACUAUAAGGAUUUAAACAGUAGCAAAAGCAAUUAAUUAAAUACCUUUUACAAUUAAUAAAUUACUAAACUAUUUUAUUUUGUCACCAAACUUUUUGUGGCAUUGGGGUAUUUUGUAACACUAAUUUAGGUACUACUUGUAUAUUUUAUAAAACAAAAAUAUAUAGAAAAUAAAAUAGAAAACUAAUAAACAGAAAACAAAUAAAUACAAAAAAGGGCCUAGGCUACUGAUGAGGACUGGGCCUAAGUGCACAGUGCCUGGAACCCAGCCCACCACGGCCUCCUUCUCCUCCCCCCUUUCUCUGUUCAAGCGACCGAGGCGUGCCCGCCGUCGCCGCCGAACCCACCUCGUCGACCACACCGCUACAGGCGUCGCGGGUGGAUAAAGAUCCACCUCUCCUUCCCCUCGGCCUCCCCUCAAUCCCUAUCCACUCUCCCUCCCUCGCCAUCGCUUGCUCCGCCCCUCCUCUUCUCCAGAUCCGCGGCCCGAGCGCCCUCGCCGCCGUCCUCCGUCGUUGCCGCGGCCACCGGCGGCCCCGUGCCUGCUGGCCUUGUCCACGGGCCUCGCCGCGGUCGGCAACCUCUCCUGGUGCCACCAGGUGGAGAUGUGGAGCCCCGCUGCCUCCGUUCGCCUUCGUCCACAUCUCCGGUCGCCGCCGCUCAUCCUCGGCUCCGACAACGUCUCUGCAGCUCCUAAACCACCACGGGCCAUCGUGUGAGCCACUCGGUGAGCUCCACCCCUUUCAUCUCCCCGUCCUAGCUCCGUUUACGUGCCGCAUCAAGCUAUGCACGAUGCGCCGCCACUGCCGCACCUUGACUCCGCUAUCGAGCUCGCAGCCAUCACGGUAGGGCUCGUCCCGGUCCGCCGAGCUCACCAACGCAUUCGUGGCUUCGAGUAGUCGCCGUAGGAGUAGCGCGCCGCCCAUUUUGGCCUCCGUUUCAUCGCGCGCAAGUUCGCCGUGCUUCGGGUCUCCGCCAUCCCUGUCGCCGGCGGCGGCUCCGGCCAUCACAGCUCGUGUGGCCACCCGCGUUGGAUGCGGCCUUGCUCACUCGUUCGAACGUGCCAACGCACGGGCCAAAUGGCCCCCUGUACGUGGAUUCCGGCGAGAUCCCGAGCGCCUCUGCCGUAUUUUCGGUCGCCGGCUUUUAGCCGCCGGCCACCAUCGACGUGGCACACCUGGGGCCACCCCUGGGUCACUGCCAGUGGGGCCCCUGGCCUCCUGUUGACUAGUUGACCCGGUCAACUUUGCUGACUGUGCACUCAGUGCCACUGACACACGCCCCCCCGCCUUUUUAACCUAAUUAAAAUGUUUCCCUAAAUAAACAUAAUUAGCUAAACUAAUGAGUCACUGACUAGUGGGGUCCAAUCACUAAUUAUUCUGUUUAAAUUAAAAUGAAUUGUUGUUAGCCCACUGCCAAUGACAGGUGGGACCAAUUGGCCAGUUUGACCAGUCAGCGGGUCUGUUGACCUGCUGAUGUCAUGCUGACACUCUGUUGACGUCAUAAUUCAUUUCUGUUAAUUUAAAUAAUUUCUGAAAAUGGUUUAAUCUUUAGAAAUUUAUAGAAAUUAACCCGUAAGUCGGAUGAAAAUGUUUUCUAUAUGAAAGUUGCUCAGAAAAAUCCAACGAAUCCGAAUACGCGGUCCGUUCAUCUGUCACAUGCCCCUAGCAUGCUGAACAUGGGACUUUCCCCCUCCGAUCAUUUGUCUAACACAGGUCCGGAACCGGGAAAACAUUCCCGGUUGACUUCCCCCCUCGCCGGUAUCGUGUAGCACCACGUUAGAACACGCCUAGCUCUGCUGGUUGUCCUGUUAUGCUAUGUUUGCUUUAUAUUUACUGUUUCUUCCCCCUCUUCUCUCCGGUAGACCCCGAGACCGAUGAUGCCCCUGUGAUCGACUACAUCACCGACGACCCCUCCUUGCCAGAGCAACCAGGCAAGCCCCCCAUUGAUCACCAGAUAUCGCCUAUUCUUCUCUAUACUGCUUGCAUUAGAGUAGUAUAGCAUGUUAUUGUUCGGUUACUCCUAUUCUGUUGCAUAGCCUGUCAUUGUUGCUACAGUCAUUGAUACCCUACCCGCAAUCCUAAAUGCUUAGUAUAGGAUGCUAGUUUAUCAUGAUUGGCCCUACAUUCUUGUCAGUCUGCCUUGCUACACUAUCGGGCCGUGAUCACUUGGGAGGUGAUCACGGGUAUAUACUAUACAUAUAUACAUACUAUACAAAUGGUGACUAAAGUCGGGUCAGCUCGUUGAGUACCCGCAAGUGAUUCCAAUGUGGGGGCUGGAAGGACAGGUGGCUCCAUCCCGGUAGAGGUGGGCCUGGGUUUCCGACGGCUCCCGACUGUUACUUUGAGGCGGAGCGACAGGGCAGGUUGAGACCGCCUAGGAGAGAGGAGUGCAAUGGGCGAUGGGCCCAGACCCCUGCGCGCAUAGGAUUUAGACCGGCGUGCUGACCUCUCUGUUGUGCCUAGGUGGGGCUGCGACGUGUUGAUCUUCCGAGGCCGGGCAUGACCCAGGAAAGUGUGUCCGGCCAAAUGGGAUCGAGCAUGUUGGGUUAUGUGGUGCACCCCUGCAGGGAAGUUAAUCUAUUCGAAUGGCCGUGAUCUUCGGUAACAGGACGACUUGGAGUUGUACCUUGACCUUAUGACAACUAGAACCGGAUACUUAAUAAAACACACCCUUCCAAGUGCCAGAUACAACCCGGUGAUCGCUCUCUAACAGGGCGACGAGGAGAGGAUCGCCGGGUAGGAUUAUGCUAUGCGAUGCUACUUGGAGGACUUCAAUCUACUCUCUUCUACAUGCUGCAAGACGGAGGCUGCCAGAAGCGUAGUCUUCGAUAGGACUAGCUAUCCCCCUCUUAUUCUGGCAUUCUGCAGUUCAGUCCACUGAUAUGGCCUCCUUACACAUAUACCCAUGCAUAUGUAGUGUAGUUCCUUGCUUGCGAGUACUUUGGACGAGUACUCACGGUUGCUUUCUCCCCCCCUUUUCUCCCUUUCCUUUCUUUCUGGUUGUCGCAACCAGAUGCUGGAGUCCAGGAGCCAGACGCCACCGUCGACGACGACUCCUACUACACCGGAGGUGCCUACUACUACGUGCAGCCCGCUGACGACGACCAGGAGUAGUUAGGAGGAUCCCAGGCAGGAGGCCUGCGCCUCUUUCGAUCUGUAUCCCAGUUUGUGCUAGCCUUCUUAAGGCAAACUUGUUUAACUUAUGUCUGUACUCAGAUAUUGUUGCUUCCGCUGACUCGUCUAUGAUCGAGCACUUGUAUUCGAGGCCUCGAGGCCCCUGGCUUGUAUUAUGAUGCUUGUAUGACUUAUUUAUGUUUUAGAGUUGUGUUGUGAUAUCUUCCUGUGAGUCCCUGAUCUUGAUCGUACACAUUUGUGUGCAUGAUUAGUGUACGAUUGAAUCGGGGGCGUCACACAAAUGAUAUAGGAUUGUGACCUUAGGUAGUUCCACAUAUAUAUACCAUCAACACGCAGUGCUCCGACUAAAGGUCAUACGGGCUAUAGAGGAAGCGGGACGAGCAAACCUUCAACAUGUACUCAUUAUGUUCAAAAGUAAACAAAACUGAUGUCUCAUUGUGGUUAUGAAGAACCUUCACAUUUUCUAUCGGAGCACCAACAAAGACACAAAUCAUCGGAACCGGUCUUGAGAACAUAGUCGCCGUCAACCACUACAACCAUAAACAUCACAAAUAAAUGAUGUAACCAAAUCCUACAAAUUCACGGCUUUUCUUCUCUGUGGAGCUUAUACUAAUAUUUCUACAUGCUAACAACACAACAUAACAUCAUAAUCAAAUGUGCAUUUGCUAAUCUAGCGAAUAUCCCCAUCUCAAACAGGAAACUGUAGCUAUUUUCACAAAGCACCUAAAAGCAUCACCUGGAUUCAAACAACUGCAACCACGACGUAUUUGUCCUAUGAUUAUAUGUCUAAGCAAGGACCAAACUUACUAAUUACUUCAAAAGUAUCUCUAGUUACUUACCAGAGAAGUGGUUCCGACAGCCAAAAGUGCCUGAGUUCUAAGGAGCCAGGUGAGGUGCUUUGUUUCUUCUUUGCCUCGCGUUGGGGCGAGGGAGGAGACGAAGAGGAGCCGCCGGAGUGCACCAAAGCCGCACUGGCGACGAAGGCAAUGCCCAGCCCGAAAACCUAGCCACGGUCGAGGGUCACAAGCGAGCGCGAGAGGCCCUCAUACUCUCUCCCCCUACACGGACUCGCCCAUUGCCUGCAAAUCGCCGCCGCCGCCGGGACGGACGCGAGAUAGGAAGAGGAGCGGCGCGAGUGUCGCGCUGGGGGCAGAGGAGAGAGGCGUAGGGGAGGAGGAGGCCGACCCCCUGGGCCAUGCCGCCUGCACCGCAUCCCAUACGUAGCCGCCUUUGCAUCGCCUCGCCAUUCCUCCUUCCCUGUCGUGGGAGCCGGGGCCAGGGCGGGGCGUUAGGGCUUGGCGGCGCCAGAUCGGAGGAGUGGAAGGAGGAGAGGGAGGCACAGGCGGGGAGGAGGUCGGGUGGCGGUGGGGAAGGAAGAGAGGGAGGCACUGGUGGGGAGGAGGCGGUGCGGGCGGGAGNNNNNNNNNNNNNNNNNNNNNNNNNNNNNNNNNNNNNNNNNNNNNNNNNNNNNNNNNNNNNNNNNNNNNNNNNNNNNNNNNNNNNNNNNNNNNNNNNNNNNNNNNNNNNNNNNNNNNNNNNNNNNNNNNNNNNNNNNNNNNNNNNNNNNNNNNNNNNNNNNNNNNNNNNNNNNNNNNNNNNNNNNNNNNNNNNNNNNNNNNNNNNNNNNNNNNNNNNNNNNNNNNNNNNNNNNNNNNNNNNNNNNNNNNNNNNNNNNNNNNNNNNNNNNNNNNNNNNNNNNNNNNNNNNNNNNNNNNNNNNNNNNNNNNNNNNNNNNNNNNNNNNNNNNNNNNNNNNNNNNNNNNNNNNNNNNNNNNNNNNNNNNNNNNNNNNNNNNNNNNNNNNNNNNNNNNNNNNNNNNNNNNAAAUGACCAGAAUACCCCGGUGGGGGCAUGGUAUUUACAUUUUUCUGCCAUUACUAUUCAUUCCAGCAGUGCCAGCUCGAGAUCCGACGGCCCAGGUUGAUCCAGAUGCUGAUCCGACGUCCAGAAACUCAUCAAGCAAACCGAUCCAACGGCCGAGAGUCACUGAUCGCUGAGGAUGCUUGUACAUCCAUCCUUCUCUUAUUUCUGGAUGAGGCGUUUGAUCAAAUGGCUACGAGUUGAAGCCAAUGAAAAAAAUGGAGUAACACAUCUUGUUGUGCAAGAAUAUAGAUUUGUUGGGUUCAGUGCAGUUGUUGAGGUUUUCAUGCUCAUAUUUAUCGAGAAAUUGUUUGCAACAAUACGUGUUAACAAUUUAACAUACAAUUUCAAUCUAGGGGUGUUACAAACAUGUUAGCGCACAACUCAUACCAAAAAUAUUCGACUACAAUAUCAGAAAAGAACUGAAUGACUAAUUUUGUGGGCGGAUCCUAGAAUCAUAUUCUGAACAAUCAAGAGCUGAAAAGAACACGUGCUUAAGUUAGGAUUAUGGGAUGGAUAGGGGGCGCUUGCCACCUCUCUCCCCUCCGCGUGAUUCACCGCGUUAUAUUUAUAUAACAAUUAAAUAUGCAUCACGAGUACCGUUGCAAAGACUAACACCGAUAGAAGGACUAAGGUAUGGAACGACUCUACUUUCGAGAAGGAUGCUCGAGCCGGUGCCGUGGAGCUGGAAGUAGCGCUUGCGAAGAUGGAUGGCCUGGCCAUGGGAGAGGGUAUCCAUUGCAAAGUAGGUUGUCCAGAAGACAGCGGAGUUGAACCUUGCGGGGAAUAACUUGACGACGCUAUUUCGUGCGGCUGCGAGUGCCAAUGACGAGCUUCCCUACACCUGCCAAUGGCAGUACUUCGGCACGCCAGUGAGGAAGAUGGCCAAGACGACAACCAUGGUGGCCGCCAAUGCCACGAAUGCUACAUUGAAGCCGACAUACCAAACCACUGUGGAGAAGAAAGAGGAAGUGGUGUUGAUGGGCAUGUAGAGACCGGUGAGGUACACCACAACGACCCUCCCUCUCUUGGAACACGGACGUCAAACUCAAGGCUAGCCCUAAUUAUGGGGUGGACAGGGGGCAGGGGGCGCUUGCCCCCGCCCCGUGUUCUUCAUCGUAAUGUAUUUAUCCAAUAGUUUAACAUUUAUCUUAUAAUUAUUGCUUCAACCAUAUAAUAGUUACCGAUCACGAUGGCGCCAACAACUGUAAUGGCAGUGGAGGGAAAUGGUGACAUGUUGGCUGAGCCUCCAGUCGGCCAGCACGCCAGAGAUGGCAGCGGACAGAUACAAUGCAACGAGGAAAUAGCUGCCAAUAUCGUCAGAUAUGUGUCUGGAGAUGCGGAGUUACGUGAGUUAGGUGAUGAGGUUGCUAGAUAUUCCCAGAACACACAACUCCUGAUCUACCUCGGUAGCUAUGAUUAGGGUGGCAGCCAACCAACCUCCCCUACCAUAAAAAAUAUAAAGUGUGGGUCAGGGGCGGACCCACAAAAAACUUGAGAGGGGCAUAUUCAUGAACAAAUAAGUCAAGCAUUGGGGCAUAAUCAUUUCGUUCUUUCAUAUCAUCAAGGGGUAGAGCCCCCUCCCCCCUCCACAGGUUCCAUUAUCCAAGGGCAGACCUAGGAAAAAAACUUGAGAGGGGCAAGAAUGUACGACCAUAUUCAUAAACCACUAAGCCAAGUGUUGAUAUAAACACUUCAUUCUAUUAGAUCACUCCCCCUCCACAGUUCCAUUAUCAAAUGAAACCAAGGUUCACAACCCAAUUCAAUUGCAAAGUACAAGAAAGUAAAAUGACAAAGCUUUGGCAAUACACAACACAACUCAUUGGCAACAUCAUAUUACAACUUGAAUGCAAAAGGCUACCAAUGCACCAGGAUACUGUUGGAGAUAUGCCCUAGAGGCAAUCAUGUAUGAUGAUAUUUCCUAUGUGUUUAUGAAUAAAUAUAGUCCUUGGAAAUUAUCAAUGAUGUGUAUCAGCAAGUACGUGUCUUGUUUAUGGGACUAUGCAUUGUAUGAUGACUGUCCUAAAAGACCCCUAGUCAAAUGGGUUUUGUGGAUGUGCAACUGAAUAGACUAGCAUAUGACAUGGUGGAUGGCUCGGUCCCACUAGCCAUAUAGCAUUGGAUGCUAGCAGGAUAAUAUGGACUCGGAAAGAUCUGGUCGGAUUCGACAUAACCGGAUUCAAGUCUAGAUAAGGUCCAAGUCGGACAUACCCAACUAUGAGACGCAACAAUAUGUCAUCUAUGGGUCUCUAGUACAAUGUACGUUCUAUAUGCUAAGACCCGAGCUUGUGCAUGUACUCGGGAUGGUGACAGACCUGUUUUGGGCUGACCAAAUGCUACUUCGUAACUGGGUAGUCAUAAAGGUAGGUUUCGGGAUUGUCCAGACCCAUGUUGCGAGACAUGGUCGAGCAAUGUCGGUGUCAAAACCGGCGGAUCUCGGGUAGGGGCCCCCGAAGACCGGUAGCAUAGGUGAGUUCCGGAGUCAGUUAUUGCCAGCCUUUACUGAAGCAUCACCCAUAUUGCCACUGCAUACGUCAGCCAUUACUUAUUUGAAUUGCGGUUCGAGGCAAACCUCUUAGGGCAUGGCCAAUGGGUGGCCUCAACCUGCUGCCCCGCAGGUCCACGUAGGAUCGGAGUUAGGUUCGGACUAAAAGGUAUCGCCUCGCACUAGCAGGUGUAGCCUGCAGAAGAGCCAGGCUCUUUGGUGUGAAAAGCGAGAGAAAGAAAGAAAAGGGCAGCUCCGCUGAUGCAUGCAAGGAGAGAGAUAGAGAGAGGAAGAAAAUUUCUAUGCAUGUGAAGGACGAUGGGUCCCACUACAGCAGUGUGGCUAUGGUUGGCCAAAAUUUUUUCUAAAUGAUGGUUUCCUCACUUUUUGAUUAGUUUAAGAGUUGAGGCAGUACCAGAGUGAUGCUCCCGUUGUACAUGUCCUUACUGGCAUUUCGUAUCAAAACAUAGACCAUGCCCCGCAUUUUGGGGAUAUCAUCAAUCAAUUUUUUUCUCCAAGCGGCCAUAACAGCACGAUAAGCCGAAAUGUGACGAUUUUUACGGUGCUAUAGAGGGACGCUUCGCCUUUUACUGGCUUAGAGCAUCUCCAACACGUGCGCUAAAAGACGUGCCCACGCGGUAAAAUUGCUUUUUAGCGCGCGCCAACCGGUUUCGCGCGCUCCAGCGAUGGAGGGAAACAAGAGCGCGCGGGAAACGAUUGCGCGCGCGCGGGAAAAGGCGGCAGCUCUCGCGCUAGAUUUGGUGCGCCGCUUCGCGCACGCCUAUAAAAUUGCAGCGCCCUCGCCGCUCUCUCUCGCUCUCUCCACUGAUUUCUCUCCUCGCCGCCGACACGCCACCACCGUGCCACCAUGCUGCCUCGCCGCCGAGGAGGUUCAUGAAGGAAAUAUGCCCUAAAGGCAAUGAUAAAGUUAUUAUUUAUUUCCUUAUAUCAUGAUAAAUGUUUAUUAUUCAUGCUAGAAAUGUAUUAACCGGAAACAUGAUACAUGUGUGAAUACAUAGACAAACUUAAUGUCACUAGUAAGCCUCUACUUGACUAGCUCAUUAAUCAAAGAUGGUUAUGUUUCCUAACCAUAGACAUGAGUUGUCAUUUGAUUAACAAGAUCACAUCAUUAGGAGACUGAUGUGAUUGAAAUGACCCAUUCCGUUAGCUUAGCACUUGAUCGUUUAGUAUGUUGCUAUUGCUUUCUUCAUGACUUAUACAUGUUCCUACAACUAUGAGAUUAUGCAACUCCCAUUUACCGGAGGAACACUUUGUGUUCUACCAAAUGUCACAACGUAACUGGGUGAUUAUAAAGGAGCUCUACAGGUGUCUCCAAAGGUACAUGUUGAGUUGGCGUAUUUCGAGAUUAGGUUUUGUCACUAUGAUUGUCGGAGAGGUAUCUCUGGGCCCUCUCGGUAAUGCACAUCACUAUAAGCCUUGCAAGCAUUGUAACUAAUGAGUUAGUUGCAGGAUGAUGUAUUACGGAACGAGUAAAGAGACUUGCCGGUAACGAGAUUGAACUAGGUAUUGAGAUACCGACGAUCGAAUCUCAGGCAAGUAACAUACCGAGGACAAAGGGAACAACGUAUGUUGUUAUGCGGUUUGACCGAUAAAGAUCUUCGUAGAAUACUUAGGAGCCAAUAUGAGCAUCCAGGUUCCGCUAUUGGUUAUUGACCGGAAACAUGUCUCGAUCAUGUCUACAUAGUUCUCGAACCCGUAAGGUCCGCACGCUUAAGGUUUCGUUGACAGUUUUAUUAUCAGUUUAUGAGUUUUGAUGUACCAAAGGUUGUUCGGAGUCCCGGAUGUGAUCACGGACAUGACGAGGAGUCUCGAAAUGGUCGAUACAAAAAGAUCGAUAUAUUGGACGACUAUAUUUGACACCGGAAAGGUUCCGAGUGAGAUUGGGAUAAUACCGGAGCUCCGGGAGGUUAUCGGAACCCCCCGGUAGGUAUAUGGGCCUUAUUGGGCCUUAGUGGAAAGGAGGAGAAAGGAGCAAGGGAGGGGGCACCCCCCAAGCCCAAUCCGAAUUGGGAGGGGGGCUGCCCCGCUUUCCUUCCUCCCUCCUUCCUCUUCCUUCCCUCUCCCUCUCCUAAUAGGAAAAGGGGGAGUCCUACUCCCGGUGGGAGUUGGACUCCCCCCUAGGGCGCGCCAUCCCCCUUGGCCGGCCCCCUCCUCCACUCCUUUAUAUACAGAGGAGGGGGGCACCCCAUAGACACAACAAUUGAUCUCUUGAUCUCUUAGCCGUGUGCAGUGCCCCCCUCCAGCAUAGUCCUCCUCGAUAAUAUUGUAGCGGUGCUUAGGCGAAGCCCUGCGGCGGUAGAACAUCAAGAUAGUCACCACACCGUCAUGCUGACGGAACUCUCCCUCGACACUCGGCUGGAUCAGAGUUCGAGGGACGUCAUCGAGCUGAACGUGUGCUAGAACUCGGAGGUGUCGUAGUUUCGGUGCUUGAUCGAUCGGGCCAUGAAGACGUACGACUACAUCAACCGCGUUGUUCUAACGCUUCCGCUUUCGGUCUACGAGGGUACGUGGACAACACUCUCCCCUGUUGUUGCUUUGCAUCACCAUGAUCUUGCGUGUGCGUAGGAAAUUUUUUGAAAUUACUACAUUCCCCGACAGUUCGGGCUACCGCGGCGUCCGCGUGCGCCCGUCCGGCACCUACUCCACCUCGAUUCAGUCGGGCGGCGGCGUGCGCCUCGGCCUCGGAACCUUCGACACCGCCCAGGAUGGCGCCCGUGCGUAUGACGCUGCGGCGUGGCGCCUUGAUAACCCACAAGUGUAGGGGAUCGCAACAACUUUCGAGGGUAAAGUAUUCAACCCAAAUAUAUUGAUUCGACACAAGGGGAGCCAAAGAAUAUUCUUGAGUAUUAGCAGUUGAUUUGUCAAUUCAACCACACCUGGAUAACUUAGUAUCUGCAACAAAGUAUUUAGUAGCAAAGUAGUAUGAUAAUAAAGGUAACUGUGGCAAAAGUAAAGAUAAUAGUUUUUGGGUUUUUGUAAUAGUUGUAACAGUAGCAACCGAAAAGUAAAUAAGCGAAGAACAAUAUGUGAAAAGCUCGUAGGCAAUGGAUCAGUGAUGGAUGUUGGGGAACGUUGCAGAAAAUUAAAUUUUUUCCUACGGUUUCACCAAGAUCCAUCUACGAGUUCAUCUAAGCAAUGAGUCAUGGGAGAGAGAUUGCAUCUACAUACCACUUGUAGAUCGCGUACGGAAGCGUUCGAAGGAACGGUGAUGAUGGAGUCGUACUCGCCGUGAUUCAGAUCACCGAUGACCAAGUGCUGAACGGACAGCACCUCCGCGUUCAACACACGUACGGUACAGACGACGUCUCCUCCUUCUUGAUCCAGCAAGGGGGAAGGAGAGGUUGAGGAAGAAGGCUCCAGUAGCAGCACGAUGGCGUGAUGAUGGUGGAGAGGCAGUACUCCGACAGGGCUUCGCCAAGCGCACAACGGAGGAGGAGAGGUGUUGGGGAGGGGAGGGGCUGCGCCUUGGAUCAGGUGUUCAGCCCUCCCCUCGCCCCUCUAUUUAUAGGGGAAGGGGGAAGGGGGCCGGCCCCCUCUAGAUGAGAUCUAGAGGGGGGGGGGGCGGCGGCCAAGGAGGGGGCUUGCCCCCCAAGGAAGGGGGGUGCGCCCCCCUUAGGGUUCCCCCCAACCCUAGGCGCAUGGGCCCAAGGGGGGGGGAGCCCAGCCCUCCAGGGGCUGGUGCCCUGCCCCAUGCGGCCCAUGUGGCCCACCAAGAGGGGUGGCCCCUCCCGGUGGACCCCCGGAACCCCUCCGGUGGCCCCGGUACAAUACCGAUAUGGCCCCGAAACUUUCCGGUGUCCGCAUGACAACUUCCCAUAUAUAAAUCUUUACCUACGGACCCUUCCGGAACUCCUCAUGACGUCCGGGAUCUCAUCCGGGACUCCGAACAACAUUCGGUAAUCACAUACAAGUCUUCCUAAUAACCCUAGCGUCACCGAACCUUAAGUGUGUAGACCCUACGGGUUCGGGAGACACGCAGACAUGACCGAGACGGCUCUCAGGUCAAUAACCAACAGCGGGAUCUGGAUACCCAUGUUGGCUCCCACAUGCUCCUUGAUGAUGUCAUCGGAUGAACCACGGUGUCGAGGAUUCAAGCAACCCCGUAUACUAUUCCCUUUGUCAAUCGGUACAUUACAAGCCCGAGACUCGAUCGUUGGUAUCCCAAUACCUCGUUCAGUCUCGUUAUCGGCAAGUCACUUUACUCGUACCGUAAUGCAUGAUCCCGUGACCAAACACUUGGUCACUUUGAGCUCAUUAUGAUGAUGCAUUACCGAGUGGGCCCAGAGAUACCUCUCCGUCAUACGGAGUGAAAAAUCCCAGUCUCGAUCCGUGUCAACCCAACAGACACUUUCGGAGAUACCUGUAGUGCACCUUUAUAGUCACCCAGUUACGUUGUGACAUUUGGUACACCCAAAGCACUCCUACGGUAUCCGGGAGUUACACGAUCUCAUGGUCUAAGGAAGAGAUACUUGACAUUGGAAAAGCUCUAGCAAAACGAACUACACGAUCUUGUGCUAUGCUUAGGAUUGGGUCUUGUCCAUCACAUCAUUCUCCUAAUGAUGUGAUCCCGUUGUCAAUGACAUCUAAUGUCCAUAGUCAAGAAACCAUGACUAUCUGUUGACCAACGAGCUAGUCAACUAGAGGCUUACUAGGGACGUAUUGUGGUCUAUGUAUUCACACGUGUAUUACGAUUUCCGGAUAAUACAAUUAUAGCAUGAAUAAAAGACAAUUAUCAUGAACAAGGAAAUAUAAUAAUAAUGCUGGGUAUAUUUCCAACAGUCUCCCACUUGCACUAGAGUCAAUAAUCUAGUUACAUUGUGAUGAAUCGAACACCCAUAGAGUUCUGGUGUUGAUCAUGUUUUGCUCGCGAGAGAGGUUUAGUCAACGGAUCUGCUACAUUCAGAUCCGUAUGUACUUUGCAAAUAUCUAUGUCUCCAUCUUGAACAUUUUCACGGAUGGAGUUGAAACGACGCUUGAUGUGCCUGGUCUUCUUGUGAAACCUGGGCUCCUUGGCAAGGGCAAUAGCUCUAGUGUUGUCACAGAAGAGUUUGAUCGGCCCCGACGCAUUGGGUAUGACUCCUAGGUCAGUGAUGAACUCCUUCACCCAAAUAGCUUCAUGCGCUGCCUCCGAUGCUGCCAUGUACUCCGCUUCACAUGUAGAUCCCACCACGACGCUCUGCUUGCAGCUGCACCAGCUUACUGCUCCACCAUUCAACAUAUACACGUAUCUGGUUUGUGACUUAGAGUCAUCCAGAUCUGUGUCGAAGCUAGCGUCGAUGUAACCCUUUACGGCGAGCUCUUCGUCACCUCCAUAAACGAGAAACAUGUCCUUUGUCCUUUUCAGGUACAUCAGGAUAUUCUUGACCACUGUCCAGUGUUCCUUGCCGGGAUUACUUUGGUACCUUCCUACCAAACUUACGGCAAGGUUUACAUCAGGUCUGGUACACAACAUGGCAUACAUACUAGAUCCUAUGGCUGAAGCAUAGGGGAUGACACUCAUCUCUUCUUUAUCUUUUGCCGUGGUCGGGCAUUGAGCCGAGCUCAAUCUCACACCUUGCAAUACAGGCAAGAACCCCCUCUUGGACUGAUCCAUUUUGAACUUCUUCAAAAUCUUAUCAAGGUAUGUGCUUUGUGAAAGACCUAUGAUGCGUCUCGAUCUAUCUCUAUAGAUCUUGAUGCCUAAUAUAUAAGCAGCUUCUCCAAGGUCCUUCAUUGAAAAACACUUAUUCAAGUAGGCCUUAAUGUUGUCCAAAAGUUCUAUAUCAUUUCCCAUCAAAAGUAUGUCAUCUACAUAUAAUAUGAGAAAUGCUACAGAGCUCCCACUCACUUUCUUGUAAACGCAGGCUUCUCCAUAAGUCUGCAUAAACCCAAACGCUUUGAUCAUCUCAUCAAAGCGAAUGUUCCAACUCCGAGAUGCUUGCACCAGCCCAUAAAUGGAUCGCUGGAGCUUGCAUACUUUGUUAGCAUUAUUAGGAUCGACAAAACCCUCCGGCUGCAUCAUAUACAGUUCUUCCUUAAGAUGCCCGUUAAGGAAUGCCGUUUUGACGUCCAUCUGCCAUAUCUCAUGAUCAUAGUAUGCGGCAAUUGCUAACAUGAUUCGGACGGACUUAAGCUUCGCUACGGGAGAGAAAGUCUCAUCAUAGUCAAUCCCUUGAACUUGCCGAUAACCCUUAGCGACAAGGCGAGCUUUAUAGAUGGUGACAUUUCCAUCCGCGUCCGUCUUCUUCUUAAAGAUCCAUUUGUUUUCUAUCGCUCGCCGAUCAUCGGGCAAGUCAGUCAAAGUCCAUACUUUGUUUUCAUACAUGGAUUCUAUCUCGGAUUUCAUGGCUUCUAGCCAUUUGUUGGAAUCUGGGCCCGCCAUUGCUUCUUCAUAGUUCGAAGGUUCACCGUUGUCCAACAACAUGAUUUCCAGGACAGGGUUGCCGUACCACUCUGGUGCGGAACGUGUCCUUGUGGACCUACGAAGUUCAGUAGCAACUUGAUCCGAAGUACCUUUAUCAUCAUCAUUAUUUUCCUCUUCAGUUGGUGUAAGCAUCACAGGAACAUUUUCCUGAGCUGCACUACUAUCCCGUUCAAGAGGUAGUACUUCAUCGAGUUCUACUUUCCUCCCACUUACUUCUUUCGAGAGAAACUCUUUUUCCAGAAAGGAUCCAUUCUUGGCAACAAAGAUAUUGCCUUCGGAUCUUAAGUAGAAGGUAUACCCAAUGGUUUCUUUAGGGUAUCCUAUGAAGACGCAUUUUUCCGACUUGGGUUCGAGCUUUUCAAGUUGAAGUUUCUUGACAUAAUCAUCGCAUCCCCAAACUUUUAGAAACGACAGCUUAGGUUUCUUCCCAAACCAUAAUUCAUACGGUGUCGUCUCAACGGAUUUAGAUGGUGCCCUAUUUAAAGUGAAUGUAGCUGUCUCUAGAGCGUAUCCCCAAAAUGAUAGCGAUAAAUCGGUAAGAGACAUCAUAGAUCGCACCAUAUCCAAUAGAGUGCGAUUACGACGUUCGGACACACCGUUAUGCUGAGGUGUUCCAGGCGGUGUGAGUUGUGAAAAGAUUCCACAUUUUCUUAAGUGUGUACCAAAUUCGUGACUUAAAUAUUCUCCUCCACGAUCCGAUCGUAAGAAUUUUAUCUUUCGGUCACAUUGAUUCUCUACUUCAUUCUGAAAUUCCUUGAACUUUUCAAAGGUCUCAGACUUGUGUUUCAUCAAGUAGACAUACCCAUAUCUACUCAAGUCAUCAGUGAGAGUGAGAACAUAAUGAUAUCCUCCGCGAGCCUCAACGCUCAUUGGACCGCACACAUCGGUAUGUAUGAUUUCCAACAAGUUGGUUGCUCGCUCCAUUGUUCCGGAGAACGGGGUCUUGGUCAUUUUGCCCAUGAGGCAUGGUUCGCAUGUGUCAAAUGAUUCAUAAUCGAGAGACUCUAAAAGUCCAUCAGCAUGGAGCUUCUUCAUGCGCUUGACACCAAUGUGACCAAGGCGGCAGUGCCACAAGUAAGUGGGACUAUCGUUAUCAACUUUACAUCUUUUGGUAUUCACGCUAUGAAUAUGUGUAACAUUACGUUCUAGAUUCAUUAAGAAUAAACCAUUGACCAUCGGGGCAUGACCAUAAAACAUAUCUCUCAUAUAAAUAGAACAACCAUUAUUCUCGGAUUUAAAUGAGUAGCCAUCUCGUAUUAAACGAGAUCCAGAUACAAUGUUCAUGCUCAAACUUGGCACUAAAUAACAAUUAUUGAGGUUUAAAACUAAUCCCGUAGGUAAAUGUAGAGGUAGCGUGCUGACGGCGAUCACAUCGACCUUAGAACCAUUCCCGACGCGCAUCGUCACCUCGUCCUUCGCCAGUCUCCGCUUAUUCCGCAGCUCCUGCUGUGAGUUACAAAUGUGAGCAACGGCACCGGUAUCAAAUACCCAGGAGUUACUACGAGUACUGGUAAGGUACACAUCAAUUACAUGUAUAUCAAAUAUACCUUUAGUGUUGCCGGCCUUCUUGUCUGCUAAGUAUUUAGGGCAAUUCCGCUUCCAGUGACCCUUCCCCUUGCAAUAAAAGCACUCAGUUUCAGGCUUGGGUCCAUUCUUUGACUUCUUCCCGGCAACUGGCUUACCGGGCGCGGCAACAUCUUUGCCGUCCUUCUUGAAGUUCUUCUUACCCUUGCCCUUCUUGAACUUAGUGGUCUUAUUGACCAUCAACACUUGAUGUUCUUUCUUGAUUUCAACCUCUGCUGACUUCAGCAUUGAAAAUACUUCAGGAAUGUUCUUCACCAUCCCCUGCAUAUUGUAGUUCAUCACAAAGCUCUUGUAGCUUGGUGGGAGCGACUGAAGGAUUCUGUCAAUGACCGCCUCAUCCGGGAGGUUAAUGUCCAGCUGGGACAGGCGGUUGUGCAACCCAGACAUUUUGAGUAUAUGCUCACUGACAGAACUAUUUUCCUCCAUCUUACAACUAUAGAACUUGUCGGAGACUUCAUAUCUCUCGACCCGGGCAUGAGCUUGGAAAACUAGUUUCAGCUCCUCGAACAUCUCAUAUGCUCCGUGUUGCUCAAAACGCUUUUGGAGCCCCGGUUCUAAGCUGUAAAGCAUGUCGCAGUGAACGAGGGAGUAAUCAUCAGCACGAGACUGCCAAGCAUUCAUAAUGUCUUGGUUCUCUGGGAUGGGAGCGUCACCUAGCGGUCCUUCUAGGACAUAUUGUUUCCUGGCAUCUAUGAGAAUGAUCCUCAGGUUCCGGACCCAGUCCGUAUAGUUGCUGCCAUCAUCUUUCAGCUUGGUUUUCUCUAGGAACGUGUUGAAGUUCAUGUUGACAUGAGCGUUGGCCAUUUGAUCUACAAGACAUAUUUGCAAAGGUUUUAGACUAAGUUUAUGAUAAUUAAGUUCAUCUAAUCAAAUUAUUGUAAUGAACUCCCACUCAGAUUAGACAUCCCUCUAGUCAUCUAAGUGUUACACGAUCCGAGUCGACUAGGCCGUGUCCGAUCAUCACGUGAGACGGACUAGUCAUCGUCGGUGAACAUCUCCAUGUCGAUCGUAUCUUCCAUACGACUCGUGUUCGACCUUUCGGUCUCUGUGUUCCGAGGCCAUGUCUGUACAUGCUAGGCUCGUCAAGUUAACCCUAAGUGUUUUGCAUGUGUAAAACUGUCUUACACCCUUUGUAUGUGAACGUAAGGAUCUAUCACACCCGAUCAUCACGUGGUGCUUCGAAACGAUGAACUUUAGCAACGACGCACAGUUAGGGGGAACACUUUCUUGAAAUUAUUAUAAGGGAUCAUCUUAUUUACUACCGUCGUUCUAAGUAAACAAGAUGCAUAAACAUAAUAAACAUCACAUGCAAUUAUAUAAUAGUGACAUGAUAUGGCCAAUAUCAUAUAGCUCCUUUGAUCUCCAUCUUUGGGGCUCCAUGAUCAUCUUCGUCACCGGCAUGACACCAUGAUCUCCAUCAUCAUGAUCUCCAUCAUCGUGUCUUCAUGAAGUUGUCACGCCAACGACUACUUCUACUUCUAUGGCUAACGCGUUUAGCAAUAAAGUAAAGUAAUUUACAUGGCGUUCUUCAAUGACACGCAGGUCAUACAAAAAAUAAAGACAACUCCUAUGGCUCCUGCCGGUUGUCAUACUCAUCGACAUGCAAGUCAUGAUUCCUAUUACAAGAACAUGAUCUCAUACAUCAUAAUAUAUCAUUCAUCAUUCAUCACAACUUCUGGCCAUAUCACAUCACAUGACAAUUGCUGCAAAAACAAGUUAGACGUCCUCUAAUUGUUGUUGCAUCUUUUACGUGGCUGCAAUUGGGUUCUAGCAAGAACGUUUUCUUACCUAUGAAUAACCACAACGUGAUUUUUUGUCAACUUCUAUUUACCCUUCAUAAGGACCCUUUUCAUCGAAUCCGCUCCAACUAAAGUGGGAGAGACAGACACCCGCCAGCCACCUUAUGCAACUAGUGCAUGUCAGUCGGUGGAAUCGGUCUCACGUAAGCGUACGUGUAAGGUUGGUCCGGGCCGCUUCAUCCCACAAUACCGCUGAAGCAAGAUAAGACUAGUAGUGGCAAGCAAGUUGACAAGAUCUACGCCCACAACAAAAUUGUGUUCUACUCAUGCAAUAGAGAACUACGCAUAGACCUAGCUCAUGAUGCCACUGUUGGGGAAUGUUGCAGAAAAUUAAAAUUUUUCCUACGGUUUCACCAAGAUCCAUCUACGAGUUCAUCUAAGAAACGAGUCAUGGGAGAGAGAUUGCAUCUACAUACCACUUGUAGAUCGCGUACGGAAGCGUUCGAGGGAACGGUGAUGAUGGAGUCGUACUCGCCAUGAUUCAGAUCACCGAUGACCAAGUGCUGAAUGGACAGCACCUCCGCAUUCAACACACGUAUGGUACGGACAACGUCUCCUCCUUCUUGAUCCAGCAAGGGGGAAGGAGAGGUUGAGGAAGAAGGCUCCAACAGCAGCACGACGGCGUGAUGAUGGUGGGGAGGCAGUACUCAGACAGGGCUUCGCCAAGCGCACAACGGAGGAGGAGAGGUGUUGGGGAGGGGAGGGGCUGCGCCUUGGAUCAGGUGUUCAGCCCUCCCCUCGCCCCUCUAUUUAUAGGGGAAGGGGNNNNNNNNNNNNNNNNNNNNNNNNNNNNNNNNNNNNNNNNNNNNNNNNNNNNNNNNNNNNNNNNNNNNNNNNNNNNNNNNNNNNNNNNNNNNNNNNNNNNNNNNNNNNNNNNNNNNNNNNNNNNNNNNNNNNNNNNNNNNNNNNNNNNNNNNNNNNNNNNNNNNNNNNNNNNNNNNNNNNNNNNNNNNNNNNNNNNNNNNNNNNNNNNNNNNNNNNNNNNNNNNNNNNNNNNNNNNNNNNNNNNNNNNNNNNNNNNGGGGUGCGCCCCCCUUAGGGUUCCCCCCCAACCCUAGGCGCAUGGGCCCAAGGGGGGGGGGGCGCCCAGCCCUCCAGGGGCUGGUGCCCUGCCCCACGCAGCCCAUGUGGCCCAUCAAGAGGGGUGGCCCCUCCCAGUGGACCCCCGGAACCCCUCCGGUGGCCCCGGUACAAUACCGAUAUGUCCCCGAAACUUUUCGGUGUCCGCAUGACAACUUACCAUAUAUAAAUCUUUACCUCCGGACCCUUCCGGAACUCCUCGUGACGUCGGGAUCUCAUCCGGGACUCCGAACAACAUUCGGUAAUCACAUACAAGUCUUCCUAAUAACCCUAGCGUCACCGAACCUUAAGUGUGUAGACCCUACGGGUUCGGGAGACACGCAGACAUGACCGAGACGGCUCUCAGGUCAAUAACCAACAGCGGGAUCUGGAUACCCAUGUUGGCUCCCACAUGCUCCUCGAUGAUGUCAUCGGAUGAACCACGGUGUCGAGGAUUCAAGCAACCCCGUAUACUAUUCCCUUUGUCAAUCGGUACAUUACAAGCCCGAGACUCGAUCGUUGGUAUCCCAAUACCUCGUUCAGUCUCGUUAUCGGCAAGUCACUUUACUCGUACCGUAAUGCAUGAUCCCGUGACCAAACACUUGGUCACUUUGAGCUCAUUAUGAUGAUGCAUUACCGAGUGGGCCCAGAGAUACCUCUCUGUCAUACGGAGUGACAAAUCCCAGUCUCGAUCCGUGUCAACCCAACAGACACUUUCGGAGAUACCUGUAGUGCACCUUUAUAGUCACCCAGUUACGUUGUGACGUUUGGUACACCCAAAGCACUCCUACGGUAUCUGGGAGUUACACGAUCUCAUGGUCUAAGGAAUAGAUACUUGACAUUGGAAAAGCUCUAGCAAAACGAACUACACGAUCUUGUGCUAUGCUUAGGAUUGGGUCUUGUCCAUCACAUCAUUCUCCUAAUGAUGUGAUCCCGUUGUCAAUGACAUCUAAUGUCCAUAGUCAGGAAACCAUGACUAUCUGUUGACCAACGAGCUAGUCAACUAGAGGCUUCCUAGGGACGUAUUGUGGUCUAUGUAUUCACACGUGUAUUACGAUUUCCAGAUAAUACAAUUAUAGCAUGAAUAAAAGACAAUUAUCAUGAACAAGGAAAUAUAAUAAUAAUGCUUUUAUUAUUGCCUCUAGGGCAUAUUUCCAACAAUGGAUAAUUAUGCCGGAUGCGAUUCCUCUUGUAAUAGCUAUAACAUAGGGUGACAUAGAACUAGCUCCAAUUCAUCAAUGUAAUGUAGGCAUGUAUUCCGUAAAUAGUCAUACGUGCUUAUGGAAAAGAACUUGCAUGACAUCUGUAUUCCCGUGGCAGCGGGGUCGUAGUGGAAACUAAGGGAUAUUAAGGCCUCCUUUUAAUAGAGAACCGGAACAAAGCAUUAGCACAUAGUGAAUACAUGAACUCCUCAAACUACGGUCAUCUCCGAGAAGUAUCCCGAUUAUUGUCACUUCGGGGUUGUCGGAUCAUAACACAUAAUAGGUGACUAUAGAAUUGCAAGAUAGGAUCAAGAACACACAUAUAUUCAUGAAAACAUAAUAGGUUCAGAUCUGAAAUCAUGGCACUCUGGCCCUAGUGACAAGCAUUAAGCAUAGCAAAGUCAUAGCAACAUCAAUCUCAGAACAUAGUGGAUACUAGGGAUCAAACCCUAACAAAAUUAACUUGAUUACAUGGUAAAUCUCAUCCAACCCAUCACCGUCCAGCAAGCAUACGAUGGAAUUACUCACGCACGGCGGUGAGCAUCAUGAAAUUGGUGACGGAGGAUGGUUGAUGAUGACAACGGCGACGAAUCCCCCUCUCCGGAGCCCCGAACGGACUCCAGAUCAGCCCUCUCGAGAGAGAUUAGGGCUUGUCGGCGGCUCCGUGUCGUAAAACGCGAUGAAACUUUCUCCUUGAUUUUUUUCUCCCCGAACGUGAAUAUAUGGAGUUGGAGUUGAGGUCGGUGGAGGUCCAGGGGGCCCACGAGAUAGGGGGGCGCGCCCUACAGGGGGGGGGCGCCCCCCUGUCUCAUGGAUAGGGUGUGGGCCCCCUGGUGUAUUUUUUUGCCCAGAAAUUCUUAUUAAUUCCAAAAAGUGCCUCCGUGGAUUUUUAGGACAUUCCGAGAACUUUUCUUUUCUACACAUAAAACAACAUCAUGGCAGUUCUGCUGAAAAUAACGUCAGUCCGGGUUAGUUUCAUUCAAAUCAUGCAAGUUAGAGUCCAAAACAAGGGCAAAAGUGUUUGGAAAAGUAGAUAUGUUGGAGACGUAUCAACUCCCCCAAACUUAAACCUUUGCUUGUCCUCAAGCAAUUCAGUUGAUAAACUAAAAGUGAUAAAGAAAAACGUUUACAAACUCUGUUUGCUCUUGUUGUUGUAAACAUGAAAAGCCAGCAUUCAAGUUUCAGCAAAUAUUAUGAACUAACCAUACUCACAAUAACACUUGGGUCUCACAAUUACUCAUAUCAAUAGCAUAAUCAGCUAGCGAGCCGUAAUAAUGAAAAUCGGAUGACAACACUUUCUCAAAACAAUCAUAACAUGAUAUAACAAAAUGGUAUCUUGCUAGCCCUUUCUGAGACCGCGAAACAUAAAUGCAGAGCACCUUUAAAGAUCAAGGACUAACUAAACAUUGUAAUUCAUGGUAAAAGAGAUCCAGUCAAGUCAUACCCAAUAUAAACCAAUAGUAAUGAAUGCAAAUGACAGUGUGCUCUCCAACGGGUGCUUUUUAAUAAGAACGGCGAUGACUCAACAUAAAAGUAAAUAGAUAGGCCCUUCGCAGAGGGAAGCAGGUAUUUGUAGAGGUGCCAGAGCUCGAUUUUAAAAUAGAGAUUGAAUAACAUUUUGAGCGGCAUACUUUCGCUGUCAAUGCAACAACUAUGAGAUGGUUGUAUCUUCCAUACUACAUGCAUUAUAGGCAGUUCCCAAACAGAAUGGUAAAGGUUUAUACUCCCCCAACCACCAACAAGCAUCAAUCCAUGGCUUGCUCGAAACAACGAGUGCCUCCAACUAACAACAGCCCUAGGGGAGUUUUGUUUAAUUAUUUUGAUUUGCUUUGAUCUUUUUGGAUCAUGGGACUGGGCAUCCCGAUUACCGGCCCUUUCUCGUAAAUGAGGAGCGGAGUCCACUCCUCUUGAGAAUAACCCACGUACCAUGAAAGAUAUAGGCAGCCCUAGUUGAAACAUGAGCUGCUCGAGCAUACAAAACCGAAUUUCAUUUGAAGGUUUGGAGUUUGGCACAUACAGAUUUACUUGGAACGGCAUGUAAAUACCGCAUAUAGGAAGGUAUAGUGGACUCAUAUGGGACAACUUUGGGGUUUAAGGAGUUUGGAUGCACAAGCAGUAUUCCCGCUUAGUACAGGUGGCUAGCAAAAGACUGGGAAGCAACCAACUGAGAGAGCGACAACAGUCAUAAACAUGCAUUAAAAUUAAUUCACACCGAAUACAAGCAUGAGUAGGAUAUAGUCCACCAUGAACAUAAAUAUCAUGAAGGCUAUGUUUAUUUGAUUCAACUACAUGCGUGAACAUGUGCCAAGUCGAGUCACUUAAUUCAUUUAAAGGAGGAUACCAUCCCAUCAUACCACAUCAUAAUCAUUCUAAUAGCAUCUUGGCACGCAAGGUAAACCAUUAUAACUCAUAGUUAAUCAAGCAUGGCACAAGCAACUAUAAUCUCUAAAUGUCAUUGCAAAUAUGUUUACUUCAUAAUAAGCUGACUCAGAAACGAUGAACUCAUCAUAUUUACAAAAACAAGAGAGGUCGAGUUCAUACCAGCUUUUCUCAUCCCAAUAAGUUCAUCAUAUAUCGUCAUUAUUGCCUUUCACUUGCACGACCGAAUGAUGUGUAUAAUAAUAAGAGUGCACGUGCAUUGGCCUAAGCUGGAAUCUGCAAGCAUUCAACUCAAAAGAGAAGACAAGUAAUAUGGGCUCUAAGUUAAAUAAACAAUCAUGCAUAUGAGAGCCACUAAACAUUUUCAAUAUGGUCUUCUCAACCCCCAAAGAAAAGAAAAGAAAAUAAAACUAUUUACACGGGAAAGCUCCCAACAAGUAAGAAGAAGAACUAGAAAUCUUUUUGGGUUUUCACUUUAAUUUCUACUACAAGCAUGGAAAUUAAACUAACUAUUUUUUUUGGUUUUCUUAAGGUUUAUCAGACACACAAGAAGAAAACUAGAAAAAGAAAUUUAAACUAGCUUGGAUAAUACAAUGAAAGAGUAUGAGCACUGACGACUAGUGUGUGAACAUGAAUGUAAAGUCGGUGAGAAAUACAUACUCCCCCAAGCUUAGGCUUUUGGCCUAAGUUGGUCUAGUACCAAGGACCGCCGCUACUCUCCCCGGUGUAAUGGGAGGUGUAAUCAGGGUACCACUGGCUGGUCAUCUCCGGAUCCCACUGGACAGAUGAUGCACGAUAAGGGUCCAGUUCAGGUUCCGGCUCAGGUUCAGGUUCUGGAGUAAAAGCUUGGGCUCAAUGAUUGUUCACCUCUUCCGGUGUAACAAGAAAAUUUUCUGCAAAGCAAAUCAAACAACAGAGGCGUAGGCAAAAUAAUAAUCUCAAUGUGUUUCUUAUUAAAUCUAAGUUUAUACAAGAGCAUCCUCUCUUCGUUGUCAACAAUAAACUUGUGUGCUACCAUGUUCUUGUAAUCUAAAAUGUGAGGAGGCAAUGUUAUCUCCUCUUUCUCAAGAUGCCUAAUGGGUAUCUGAAAAUUCCUAGCAAGACGUGCAGCAUAGAUACCUCCAAAUAUGGGGCCUUUUGUACGAUUCGGGGCUAGCCGUUUAGCAACGACGGCACCCAUACUAAAAGUAUUGUCUCCAAGCAAGGCAUGUUGAAGAAUGAUAAUAUCAGGAACACUUAAGUUUCCACUAUUUCCUCGACCAAUCAAGCAUCUACUAGCAAAUAUGGCAAAGUAGCAUAAAACAGGAAAGUGUAUGCUAGAGACUUUUGCCUCGGAACCCUUCUUUGGCUCCUCUAUAGCGAUAGUAUUAACAAAGCCAUCCACAUCUUUACGAUGGGGUUCCUCUAAUUCUCCCUCAUAAGAUAUCCUAUACACCACGCAAAAAAUACGUAAAGAAAUUUCUCUGAAUUCAUCAUAUAAAUGAAAUGAUACUCCAGGUGGUGACUUCUUAGGAUAAUAAUAAAAGUUUUGCAAGAAAGUAUUAGUGAGUAAGAGAUACUGAUCGAUCCGGUCGUUGAUGAAACCGGUGAGGCCUACAGUCUCGAUCGAAGAAUAAAAAUCUUCAUGAAUUCCGGCUUCUUUCAAGAAAUCAUUGCAUGGCCAUUCACACGACCGCACUUCCGCUAAGCAAGGAAGAUUAUACUUGGCUUUUUCCUUCUCUUUGGCUUGUUUUUCCUGAGAGCCUUGGCUAGAAGAUCCCCUCAAAAACUUCCUUAACAUUUUCUGAAAAUUUCUGAAAUCUUAGUAACUUCAAAAUAAAAGUGAAUAAAACUAAACAAGAUUGGUAGCAACUACUCCUACAAGUGCCUAGAGCCUAUAUCAUGCAUUAGAAUUGCUUGGGACCUCAUAAAUUCAACAUGCAAGCUCAAGAACAUAGUCACCUAUGCAGCAAAAAUUUGCAAUGAAUAAAGCACUAGAACAAAAACUAAUUGGACCAAUGGAGAAGUCACAUACCAAGCAACAAUCUCCCAAAGCAGUUUUAUGAAUGGAGCUUUGAGCAAGGAGAUCGAAAAUCAUAGCAAAACGAGCUAGAACUCGUGCUUGAGCUGGAUGGGGAUUUUUUGGGUAGAAGAUGAAGUGUGUGGGUGCUGGCAUCAGUGGAGGGGGCCACCAGGGGCCCACGAGACACGGGGUGCGCCCUAUAGGGGGGGCGCCCUCCACUCUCGUGGCCUUGUGCUUGCCCCUCCUGCAAUGUUUUCAGUGCCUAAAAUCCUCAAAUAUUCCAUAAAAAAUCAUACUAAAUUUGCAGGGCAUUUGGAGCACUUUUAUUUUCGGGAUAUUUUUUAAUGCACGGAUAAUUCAGAAAGCAGACAGUUAAUACUAUUUUUUGCUUCAUUUAUUCUAAAUAACAGAAAGUAAAAGGUGGGUACAGAAGGUUGUGCCUUCUAGUUUUAUCCAUCUCAUGAUCAUCAAAAUGAAUCCACUAAGAAGGUUGAUCAAGUCUUGUUAACAAACUCAUUCCGAAUAACACGGAACCGGAGAAAUUUCGAAUAACACUAAGUUACCUCAACAGGGAUAUGAAAAUCCCCAACAAUAAGAACAUCAUACUUUUUCUUGACAGUAGGGAGAGGAAAUUCAAAACCUCCAAUAAUAAUAGUUGGAACUUUUCCAAUUGAAUUGAUGCUAUGAACUUGAGAUUGUUUCCUCGGAAAGUGUACCGUAUGCUCAUUACCAUUAACAUGAAAAGUGACAUUGCCUUUGUUGCAAUCAAUAACAGCCCCUUCAGUAUUCAAAAAGGGUCUACCAAGGAUAAUAGACAUACUAUCGUCCUCGGGAAUAUCAAGAAUAACAAAGUCCGUUAAGAUAGUGACAUUUUCAACCACAACAAGCACAUCCUCACAAAUACCGACAUGUAUAGCAGUUGAUUUAUCAACGAUUUGCAAAGAUAUUUUAGUAGGUGUCAACUUAUUCAAUUCAAGUCUACGAUAUAAAGAGAGAGGCAUAACACUAACACCGGCUCCAAGAUCACAUAAAACAGUUCUAACAUAAUUUCUUUUAAUGGAGCAUGGUAUAGUUGGUACACCCGGAUCUUCAAGUUUCUUAGGUAUUCCACCCUUAAAAGUGUAAUUAGCAAGCAUGGUGGAAAUUUCAGCUUCCGGUAUCUUUCUUUUAUUUGUGAUGAUAUCCUUCAUAUACUUAGCAUAAGGAUUUACUUUGCCCAUAUCAGUUAAGCGCAUACAUAAGAAAAUAGGUCUAAUCAUUUCAAAAAAGCGCUCAAAAUCCUCAUCAUCCUUUGACUUGGAUGGUUUAGGAGGAAAGGGCAUGGGUUUCUAAACCCAUGGCUCUCUUUCUCUACCGUGCUUCCUAGCAACAAAAUCUCUCUUACCAUAACGUUGAUUCUUUGAUUGUGGGUUAUCAAGAUCAACAACAGGUGUGGAGGUUAUAAUUACUGAGUAUAAACCGGCCAGGAGGGUCCGGUUCACCCUUGAUUAUGUUAAAGCCCAUGAAGAUCCAGAAGAUGGCGCUUUACUAAAGAAGCAUAGAAACCCGAAGCCCAAAUGCGGAUUAGGGCCCAUGAUGGUAAACCGCCAUGAUUAUGUAAACUUGUAUUGUAAGUUAGGAAAGGAGAGACCGAGCCAGACACUUUGUAUGAGUCGGCCUCGGGACUCUGUAAACCGGCCGGGCGUCAACCUGUGUAUAUAAAAGGGCGACCCAGCGGCGGUUUAGGGACAACAGACAACAACUCGAGACUCAGGCAAGCGUAUUUUGCUCCCUGAUCAUCGAAACCCAAUCAAUCCCAUCACAACUAGACAUAGGCUUUUACCUUCAUCGAAGGGGCCGAACUAGUAUAACUCCCAUGUCCCUUGUCCGGUUUCAAGCUAACCCAUUGCGAUGGCUCCACGACUAAGUCCUUUCACAAGGACAUCUGACGUGAUAAUUCCACGACAGUUGGCGCCCACUGUGAGGCUAUCGCACGAUGGUGUCGAGUUCUUGAAGGGAUGCUCUGAAGGACUUAAGGGGUACGUGAUCGGCCGGAUGACCAAAAGUCGUCGCGGCAAGCUCUACAUCGACGAUGAAGGAUGGGGCCCUGAGGCUGGCUCAAUCGAGUACGGGUACCGGGUCCCCUUCGGCGGAAUUCAUGUCUUCAUUGGCAAAAUCAGCGAACCGGGCCCUAAGCCGGACAUCUACACCGGCCUCGUCGAGACGGCUCAGCGUGCGAGUCCAGCCCGGGUUACGCCCGCCGUGAAGCGUGCGUUCGUAGGAUGCAUCCAUGGGAUCGGAUCUGAACCGGUGUCUGAGGGCGACACGGCGGUAUAUUCCGACGGCGAGUCAUCCACUGGCGAAACCGAGUCCUUGUACCAGAUUCAUGACGGUAUGCUCGAGGGAUAUUCCGAUGGCAACAGUAUUCCGGACCUCCCUGAAGCGCCAAGACGGGUUGCUAUUUACAUGGCUGACACGCAACCUGUGUUACAGUCCUCAUCAACCGCAGCAGCGACCACCGGAUCAGCGGCCGCGGCAGGUACCUCGGUGCACCGGCCGGCGCAGGUUCUCUCCGGUUUAAUGGAUGCUUGGGCGACCUUGUUAACCACGGUAGUCACCCCGGAGACGCAGGAUCGACACAAUGCGGAAGCUGCGAGGCUGAAGGAGCAGAUUACGCAGGCUAAGGCAGACCUGGUGGCUGAGGAUAAUAGGAUGGCUGAGGAACAUGCCGCUUUGAAUGCUCAAGCACAGCAGAUACAAGCACAGAAUUACCGACUCAUGCUGGACCGGACCGCGUCAGAGGAGGUGUUACGAAGGAAAUAUCGGUCGCGCCUACCGCCGGUUUACGAAGGGUUAAAUCUCUUUCAGACCCCAGGCGCUGGGCCGAGCAAUCCGGAAGCUGCAGACCGGGCCAAAGCGCUGAGGAUUGCCCCAGAUCAGCCACGGGCAACGGAGCUACCCUGACGGACAGUUAAUCCGCCACAGUAUGUGCCUACACCACCGGGUCACUUUUCGAGCCCCCUGGAUAACAUGAUCGCUGCGGCUUCACGCUUCGCAGCCAUUCCAAUGGAAGGAGAUUCAAUAGAGGCAGUUGAGACACGGCGGGCGAGAGAUCUUCUUCAAACCGCCGUAGUGCAGCAACAUGCUUAUUCAUAUAGCCGAGACAGGAUCCAUUCAACCCCCCGUCCAGGCCCAAGUUAUAGCAGGCGGAUGGACGAACCAGAGGUGUCUAGUAGCGCGCGGCGUCGCAAUGCUCAGGAGGUGGUGGACCAUGGCAGGGCUCGAAGGGAUGGCGCUUUGGAUCAUUAUCAACCCGCCCCGGUUCAGCCAAUAGUGUCGGUUGACAGAGGCACCGGGCUUGCUUUCAAUUCCUGGGGUGUACCGUGCCUUAUUCCGGCUCUCCGUAAUGUGCGUCUGCCCAAGGAUUUCAAGGGGCCGUGCAAGGUGCCUAACUAUACGAUGGAUCAGCCACCUGAGGCGUGGGUCGAGACUUAUGAGAUGGCAAUGGAGAUGCUGGAUGUGGAUGAAGCAGCUUGUGCAAAGUACUUCAUGAUGAUGUUGGAAGGACCGGCCCGCACUUGGUUGAAAAAUCUACCAACUAAUUCCAUCGAGUCAUGGGAUGAGUUGAAGGCCCGGUUUAUAGCCAAUUUUAAGGAUACAUGCAAACAGCCGAUGUCCAUUAUAGAUCUGGAUGCUUGCGUUCAGGGUGAGAACAAAUCCACAACUCAUUGGGUGCGUCGGGUCUCAGAAGUUUUGCACUCAUCCGACCGGAUUAACGCUGGCCAAGCGAUUAUCACGCUGGAAUGUAAUUGCCAGUUUAAGUCACUGAAGGAGAAGUUGGGACGGCUCAAGCGCCACUGCAACGACCUGGGAACCCUCAUGGCAGCCUUGGUAAAAUACGUCGAUUCUGAUAAUACCAAGGAUCCCGAUUCUGAUAAUGAGAAACCGGAGAAGGGAAAGAGGAAUGGUGGUGCGAAGGGACAACAGCACAACCAGGGAGGCCAUGGGAAUAAUGGUAAGCGUAAAGCAGAUUCAGAUUUUGUGGCUAAUGCUAAUGUGCAGCGUCGUAGGGGUAAACCGCCCCAGCAUGGUGGGGCGAUGAAUCUGGAGCGCUUGUUGAAUCAGCCCUGUCCAAAGCAUGGAACCAAAGAAGUCCCUGCAACACAUCUCUGGAAGGAUUGCAACAUCAUGAAGGAGUUCAAAAAUUCCGAUCUCUUCCGGUAUGAUCAGGGCCCAUCGGGCGGUUCAGGUCCUGGUUUUCAUGGUGGCGGCGGUUCAAGCUCUGGGUUUUAGAAUAAUCAUAAUAAUCAGAACAACCAAGGUGGCAAUAACCAACAGAGUGGUCAAGGGAAUCAGCAACAGUCGGGUUACCAGAGUCACCCGAAGCAGCUGAAUGGUGGACAAUAUCAUGUAUUCACCACUAGUCUGUGCAAGCUUGAUCUGAAGCUGCAUAAUGCGGUUGAACCGGCAGUUCCACGCUAUCUGCGGUGGUCGGAACAACCCAUCGUGUGGAGUAGGGAGGAUCAUCCGCCCCGGGUUGACAAUCCGGGGCAGCUAGCUCUGGUGGUGGCACCUCAGGUGGGAGGUUACAAGUUCACCAAAGUACUCAUGGAUGGAGGAAGCAGUAUUAAUAUUCUGUAAUAUGAGACAUUCCGUCGAAUGGGGUUGACAGAUAAGAAUCUUAAACCGUCCAAUACUGUGUUCCAUGGCGUGGUACCAGGAAAAUCAGCAUAUCCAGUGGGCAAGAUUGCCUUGGAAGUUGUGUUUGGGGAUGAACAUGAUUCCCGGUCUGAGACAUUGACUUUUGAAGUGGUGAGAAUCUAGAGCCCGUAUCACGCACUGUUCGGACGACCGGCUUAUGCAAAGUUCAUGGCCAGGCCUUGUUAUAUUUACUUACAGCUCAAGAUGCCGGGUCACAAAGGAACCAUCACGGUUCAUGGCAGUCGAAAGAUCACUUUGGAUUGCGAAGAGAGUGAUGUGUCUUACGCUGAGUCGGUUUGUGCUACAGAGGAGUUAAAGUUUUACAAGGAGAAUGUUGAUCCGGCAGAUAUGACCCCUCUGAAGAAGCCCACCACUGAGCAUGACCCAACCCUACACUUCAAACCGACUGACGAGGCAAAGCUUGUUGACUUUGUACCUGGCAAUUCAUCCAAGCAGUUCAACAUCAGCACCAAUCUGGAUCCAAAAUAGGAAAGCGCGCUCAUCGAGUUCAUCCGUGAGAACCGGGACAUCUUUGCAUGGAAGCCGUCUGACAUGCCAGGUGUACCGAGGGAACUCGCUGAGCACACUCUUAAUAUUGAUCCGAAGUUUAAACCAGUCAAGCAAUUUCUUUGUCGCUUUAAUGAAGAGAGACGCAAGGCAACUGGGGAGGAGGUAGCCCGGCUGUUGGCUGCUGGGUUUAUCGUUGAAGUGUUUCAUCCUGAAUGGUUGGCUAAUCCGGUGCUGGUUCUUAAGAAAAACGGGACUUGGCGCAUGUGUGUGGACUACACGGACUUAAAUAAGGCUUGCCCGACCAUCCUUUUGCUCUCCCGCAUAUUGAUCAGAUCAUUGAUGCGACGACGGGUUGUGAGCGCCUGAGUUUUUUGGAUGCUUACUCAGGGUACCAUCAGAUCAAAAUGGCAGUUAAGGACCAGGAGAAGACAACCUUCAUCACUCCCUUUGGAGCCUUCUACUAUGUUUCUAUGCCCUUUGGGCUCAAGAGUGCUCAGGCAACUUAUCAGCGUUGUGUGCAGAAUUGUCUUCACACGCAGAUUGGGCGUAAUGUUCAUGCCUAUGUGGAUGACAUUGUGGUGAAAUCCAGGGAAAAGGAGACAUUGAUAGCUGAUCUCAAGGAGACGUUUGACAACCUUCGGGUUUACAAUAUGAUGCUUAACCCGAAUAAGUGUGUUUUUGGUGUUCCGGCAGGCAAACUGCUCGGUUUUCUUGUAUCUAACAGGGGCAUUGAGGCCAAUCCGGAAAAGAUCAAGGCAAUCACAUCCUUGGCUAAACCGACAUGUAUCAAUGAUGUUCAGCGUCUCGCAGGCCGGAUUGCAGCCCUCAGCCGGUUUAUCAGUCGUCUGGGUGAGAAGGCCAUUCCCUUGUAUCAGAUGUUGAAGAAGACGGAUGAUUUCAUCAGGAGUGAUGCGGCUAAUGCGGCCUUUGAGGAGUUAAAACGACAGUUGGUUGAACCGCCAGUUCUUGCAGCCCCAGUUGAUCAUUAGCCUUUGCUAUUAUAUGUGGCUGCUAAUGCCCGAGCGGUCAGUGUGUCUAUCGUGGUAGAGCGUAAAGAGGCUGGGAAGGAAUAUCCGGUUCAACGGCCGGUAUACUACAUCAGUGAAGUUCUGAUUGAGUCAAAACAACGCUAUCCGCAUUGGCAAAAGUUAGUGUAUGGGGUUUUUAUGGCCAGUCGAAAACUCAAGCAAUAUUUUCAGGGUCACCCCAUCACAGUGGUUAGUUCUGCUCCCUUGGGUGAUAUCAUCCAAAACAGAGAAGCAACUGGCCGGGUUGCAAAGUGGGCAAUUGAGCUUGGUCCACAUGGUUUGAAAUAUGUGCCUCGCACAGCCAUCAAGUCUCAGGCUCUUGUGGACUUUAUCAAUGACUGGACCGAGUUACAAGCACCGGAAGAGAAGCCGGAUAAUAUGUACUGGACUAUUCAUUUCGAUGGAUCAAGGCAGUUGGAAGGCUCGGGGGCUGGAGUUGUCCUUACCUCCCCCCGAGGUGAUAAAAUUUGCUAUGUCCUCCGCUUGAUGUUUCCUUGUACUAACAAUGUAGCUGAGUAUGAAGCCCUGCUUCAUGGUCUCCGUGUGGCUAAGGAGAUGAACUUAACUCGAGUUCGUUGUUUCAGAGAUUCUGAUCUGGUGGCUUAGCAAGUUUCUGGUACUUGGGAUUCUAAGGAUCCACUCAUGGCGGCUUACAGGCGUGAGGUAGAUAUGGUGGCGGGACACUUCAAAGGUUACCAGGUUGAGCAUAUUGAUCGGCGCAAAAACGAAGCGGCAGACGCUUUAAGACGGCUUGGAUCUCAGCGUAAACCGGUACCUCCUAACACCUUUUUAGACAUCUUGCAUAACUCGUCUGUCAAAUUGCCAACAGAAGAGGAUCUGUCUGUUCCUGAUCCGGAGGAGCAGUUGGUGGCUGCUUUACAUGUUGUGCCGGAUUGGAUGGUUCCAUAUCUAGCAUAUAUGAGCCAGGGUGAGCUACCAAAUGAUCAAGUCCUGGCCCGACAGAUAGUCCGGCGCUCUAAAUCCAUGGUUAUUCACAAUGGCGAGUUGCACCGCUGUAGCAUUUCAGGCGUAUUUCAGCGUUGUGUUUCUCCGGAGGAAGGCCAAGCGAUCCUCCGGGAAAUUCAUGAAGGGGAUUGUGGCCAUCAUGCCGGUUCAAAGUCCCUGGUUGCAAAAGCUUUUCGUCAUGGGUUUUACUGGUUGACAGCUCAUGCUGAUGCGGAGGAUCUGGUAAAGCGAUGUGAUGCUUGUCAAAAAAUUUCACGCAGAGCUCAUGUUCCGGCUCAGGAACUACGGAUGAUUCCCAUCACUUGGCCUUUUGCUACUUGGGGGCUUGAUAUGGUGGGACCCUUCAAAUGUUCCCGGGACAAGAAGACCCACCUGUUGGUGGCAGUUGAUAAAUUCACCAAGUGGGUUGAAGCGGAGCCUGUUAGCAACUGUGAUGCAGCUACGGCGGUUCAAUUUCUCAAAAAGAUUAUUUUCCGUUUUGGCUACCCACACUGUUGGAAAUAUGCCCUAGAGGCAAUAAUAAAAGUGUUAUUAUUAUAUUUCCUUGUUCAUGAUAAUUGUCUUUUAUUCAUGCUAUAACUGUAUUAUCCGGAAAUCGUAAUACACGUGUGAAUACAUAGACCACAAUAUGUCCCUAGUGAGCCUCUAGUUGACUAGCUCGUUGUGAUCAACAGAUAGUCAUGGUUUCCUGGCUAUGGACAUUGGAUGUCGUUGAUAACGGGAUCACAUCAUUAGGAGAAUGAUGUGAUGGACAAGACCCAAUCCUAAGACUAGCACAAAGAUCGUGUAGUUCGUUUGCUAGAACUUUGCCAAUGUCAAGUAUCUCUUCCUUUGACCAUGAGAUCGUGUAACUCCUGGAUACCGUAGGAGUGCUUUGGGUGUAUCAAACGUCACAACGUAACUGGGUGACUAUAAAGGUGCACUACAGGUAUCUCCGAAAGUAUCUAUUGUUUUAUGCGGAUCGAGACUGGGAUUUGUCACUCCGUGUAAACGGAGAGGUAUCUCUGGGCCCACUCGGUAGGACAUCAUCAUAUGCGCAAUGUGACCAAGGAUUUGAUCACGGGAUGAUGUGUUACGGAACGAGUAAAGUGACUUGCCGGUAACGAGAUUGAACAAGGUAUCGGUAUACCGACGAUCGAAUCUCGGGCAAGUAAAAUACCGCUAGACAAAGGGAAUUGUAUACGGGAUCGAUUGAGUCCUUGACAUCGUGGUUCAUCCGAUGAGAUCAUCAUGGAACAUGUGGGAGCCAUCAUGGGUAUCCAGAUCCCGCUGUUGGUUAUUGACCGGAGAACGUCUCGGUCAUGUCUGCAUGUCUCCCGAACCCGUAGGGUCUACACACUUAAGGUUCGAUGACGCUAGGGUUAUAAAGGAAGCUUGUAUGUGGUUACCGAAUGUUGUUCGGAGUCCCGGAUGAGAUCCCGGACGUCACGAGGAGUUCCGGAAUGGUCCGGAGGUAAAGAUUUAUAUAUAGGAAGUCCUGUUUCGGCCAUCGGGACAAGUUUCGGGGUCAUCGGUAUUGUACCGGGACCACCGGAAGGGUCUCGGGGGCCCACCGGGUGGGGCCACCUGCCCCGGGGGGCCACAUGGGCUGUAGGGGGUGCGCCUUGGCCUACAUGGGCCAAGGGCACCAGCCCCUAGAGGCCCAUGCGCCAAGAUAAAGGAAAAAGGGGAGAGUCCUAAAGGGGGAAGGCACCUCCGAGGUGCCUUGGGGAGGAUGGACUCCUCCCCCCCUCCUUAGCCGCACCCCUUCCUUGGAGGAGGGGGCAAGGCUGCGCCUCCCCCCUCUCCCCUGCCCCUAUAUAUAGUGGAGGGGAGGGAGGGCAUCCAUACCUGAGCCCUUGGCGCCUCCCUCCCUCCCGUGACACCUCCUCCUCUCCCGUAGGUGCUUGGCGAAGCCCUGCAGGAUUGCCACGCUCCUCCAUCACCACCACGCCGUUGUGCUGCUGCUGGAUGGAGUCUUCCUCAACCUCUCCCUCUCUCCUUGCUGGAUCAAGGCAUGGGAGACAUCGUCGAGCUGUACGUGUGUUGAACGCGGAGGUGCUGUCCGUUCGGCACUAGAUCAUCGGUGAUUUGAAUCACGACGAGUACGACUCCAUCAACCCCGUUCACUUGAACGCUUCCGCUUAGCGAUCUACAAGGGUAUGUAGAUGCACUCUCCUUCCCCUCGUUGCUAGUCUCUCCAUAGAUAGAUCUUGGUGACACGUAGGAAAAUUUUGAAUUUCUGCUACGUUCCCCAACAGUGGCAUCAUGAGCUAGGUCUAUUGCGUAGAUUCUUUGCACGAGUAGAACACAAAGUAGUUGUGGGCGUUGAUGUUGUUCAAUAUGCUUACCGUUACUAGUCCAAUCUUGUUUCGACGGUAUUGUGGGAUGAAGCGGCCUGGACCGACCUUACACGUACUCUUACGUGAGACAGGUUCCACCGAUUGACAUGCACUUGGUGCAUAAGGUGGCUAGCGGGUGCCAGUCUCUCCCACUUUAGUCGGAACGGAUUCGAUGAAAAGGGUCCUUAUGAAGGGUAAAUAGCAAUUGGCAUAUCACGUUGUGGUUUUGCGUAGGUAAGAAACGUUCUUGCUAGAAACCCAUAGCAGCCACAUAAAACAUGCAAACAACAAUUAGAGGACGUCUAACUUGUUUUUGCAGGGUAUGCUAUGUGAUGUGAUAUGGCCAAAAGGAUGUGAUGAAUGAUAUAUGUGAUGUAUGAGAUUGAUCAUGUUCUUGUAAUAGGAUUCACGACUUGCAUGUCGAUGAGUAUGACAACCGGCAGGAGCCAUAGGAGUUGUCUUAAUUUAUUGUAUGACCUGCGUGUCAUUGAAGAACGCCAUGUAACUUACUUUACUUUAUUGCUAAACGCGUUAGCCAUAGAAGUAGAAGUAGUCGUUGGCGUGACAACUUCAUGAAGACACGAUGAUGGAGAUCAUGAUGAUGGAGAUCAUGGUGUCAUGCCGGUGACGAUGAUGAUCAUGGAGCCCCGAAGAUGAAGAUCAAAAGGAGCAAAAUGAUAUUGGCCAUAUCAUGUCACUAUUUGAUUGCAUGUGAUGUUUAUUAUGAUUAUGCAUCUUGUUUACUUAGGACGACGGUAGUAAAUAAGAUGAUCCCUUACAAAAUUUCAAGAAGUGUUUGUUGGAAAUAUGCCCUAGAGGCAAUAAUAAAAGUAUUAUUAUUAUAUUUCCUUGUUCAUGAUAAUUGUCUUUUAUUCAUGCUAUAACUGUAUUAUCCGGAAAUCGUAAUACACGUGUGAAUACAUAGACCACAAUAUGUCCCUAGUGAGCCUCUAGUUGACUAGCUCAUUGUGAUCAACAGAUAGUCAUGGUUUCCUGGCUAUGGACAUUGGAUGUCGUUGAUAACGGGAUCACAUCAUUAGGAGAAUGAUGUGAUGGACAAGACCCAAUCCUAAGACUAGCACAAAAGAUCGUGUAGUUCAUUUGCUAGAGCUUUGCCAAUGUCAAGUAUCUCUUCCUUCGACCAUGAGAGCGUGUAACUCCUGGAUACCGUAGGAGUGCUUUGGGGGUAUCAAACGUCACAACGUAACUGGGUGACUAUAAAGGUGCACUACAGGUAUCUCCGAAAGUAUCUAUUGUUUUAUGCGGAUCGAGACUGGGAUUUGUCACUCCGUGUAAACGGAGAGGUAUCUCUGGGCCCACUCGGUAGGACAUCAUCAUAUGCGCAAUGUGACCAAGGAGUUGAUCACGGGAUGAUGUGUUACGGAACGAGUAAAGUGACUUGCCGGUAACGAGAUUGAACAAGGUAUUGGAUACCGACGAUCGAAUCUCGGGCAAGUAAAAUACCGCUAGACAAAGGGAAUUGUAUACGGGAUCGAUUGAGUCCUUGACAUCGUGGUUCAUCCGAUGAGAUCAUCGUGGAACAUGUGGGAGCCAACAUGGGUAUCCAGAUCCCGCUGUUGGUUAUUGACCGGAGAACGUCUUGGUCAUGUCUGCAUGUCUCCCGAACCCGUAGGGUCUACACACUUAAGGUUCGAUGACGCUAGGGUUAUAAAGGAAGCUUGUAUGUGGUUACCGAAUGUUGUUCGGAGUCCCGGAUGAGAUCCCGGACGUCACGAGGAGUUCCGGAAUGGUCCGGAGGUAAAGAUUUAUAUAUAGGAAGUCCUGUUUCGGCCAUCGGGACAAGUUUCGGGGUCAUCGGUAUUGUACCGGGACCACCGGAAGGGUCCCGGGGGCCCACCGGGUGGGGCCACCUGCCCCGGGGGGCCACAUGGGCUGUAGGGGGUGCGCCUUGGCCUACAUGGGCCAAGGGCACCAGCCCCUAGAGGCCCAUGCGCCAAGAUAAAGGAAAAAGGGAAGAGUCCUAAAGGGGGAAGGCACCUCCGAGGUGCCUUGGGGAGGAUGGACUCCUCCCCAUCCUUAGCCGCACCCCUUCCUUGGAGGAGGGGGCAAGGCUGCGCCUUCCCCCUCUCCCUUGGCCCUAUAUAUAGUGGAGAAAAGGAGGAGCAAUCAUACCUAAGGCCUUUGGUUGCCUCCCUCUCCCUCCCGUGACACAUCUCCUCUCCCGUAGGUGCUCGGCGAAGCCCUGCGGGAUUGCCACGCUCCUCCACCACCACCACGCCGUUGUGCUGCUGUUGGAUGGAGUCUUCCUCAACCUCUCCCUCUCUCCUUGCUGGAUCAAGGCGUGGGAGACGUCACCGGGCUGUACGUGUGUUGAACGCGGAGGUGCUGUCCGUUCGGCACUUGAUCAUCGGUGAUCUGAAUCACGAUGAGUACGACUCCAUCAACCCCAUUCACUUGAACGCUUCCGCUUAGCGAUCUACAAGGGUAUGUAGAUGCACUCCUCCUUCUACUCGUUGCUGGUCUCUCCAUAGAUAGAUCUUGGUGUUACGUAGGAAAAUUUUUGAAUUUCUGCUACGUUACCCAACAGUGGCAUCAUGAGCUAGGUCUAUUGCGUAGAUUCUUUGCACGAGUAGAACACAAAGUAGUUGUGGGCGUCGAUAUUGUUCAAUAUGCUUGCCGUUACUAGUCUUAUCUUGAUUCGGCGGCAUCGUGGGAUGAAGCGGCCCGGACCAACCUUACACGUACGCUUACGUGAGACCGGUUCCACCGACAAACAUGCACUAGUUGCAUAAGGUGGCUGGCGGGUGUCUGUCUCUCCCACUUUAGUCGGAUCGGAUUCGAUGAAAAGGGUCCUUAUGAAGGGUAAAUAGCAAUUGGCAUAUCACGUUGUGGUUCAUGCGUAGGUAAGAAACGUUCUUGCUAGAAACCCAUAGCAGCCACGUAAAACAUGCAAACAACAAUUAGAGGACGUCUAACUUGUUUUUGCAGGGUAUGCUAUGUGAUGUGAUAUGGCCAAAGGAUGUGAUGAAUGAUAUAUGUGAUGUAUGAGAUUGAUCAUGUUCUUGUAAUAGGAUUCACGACUUGCAUGUCGAUGAGUAUGACAACCGGCAGGAGCCAUAGGAGUUGUCUUUAUUUUUUGUAUGACCUACGUGUCAUUGAAGAACGCCAUGUAAACUACUUUACUUUAUUGCUAAACGCGUUAGUCAUAGAAGUAGAAGUAGUCGUUGGCGUGACAACUUCAUGAAGACACGAUGAUGGAGAUCAUGAUGAUGGAGAUCAUGGUGUCAUGCCGGUGACAAGAUGAUCAUGGAGCCCCGAAGAUGGAGAUCAAUGGAGCUAUAUGAUAUUGGCCAUAUCAUGUCACAACUAUAUAAUUGCAUGUGAUGUUUAUUAUGUUUAUGCAUCUUAUUUGCUUAGAACGACGGUAGUAAAUAAGAUGAUCCCUCAUUAAAAUUUCAAGAAGUGUUCUCCCCUAACUGUGCACCGUUGCUACAGUUCGUUGUUUCGAAGCACCACGUGAUGAUCGGGUGUGAUAGAUCCUUACGUUCACAUACAACGGGUGUAAGACAGUUUUACACAGCAAAAACACUUAGGGUUAACUUGACGAGCCUAGCAUGUACAGACAUGGCCUCGGAACACGGAGACCGAAAGGUCGAGCAUGAGUCGUAUAGUAGAUACGAUCAACAUGAAGAUGUUCACCGACGUUGACUAGUCCGUCUCACGUGAUGAUCGGACACGGUCUAGUUUGACUCGGAUCAUGUAAUCACUUAGAUGACCAGAGGGAUGUCUAUCUGAGUGGGAGUUCAUAAGAUGAACUUAAUUAUCUUGAACAUAGUCAAAAGACCCUUUGCAAAUUAUGUCGUAGCUCGCGCUAUAGUUCUACUGUUUAGAUAUGUUCCUAGAGAAAAUUAUAGUUGAAAGUUGAAAGUAGCGAUUAUGCGGACAGUAGAAAGCUUAUGUCCUUAAUGUGCUGCUCAAUGUGCUGAACCCCAAACGUCGUUUGUGGAUGUUUCGAACAUCGAACAUACACGUUUUGAUAACUACGUGAUAGUUCAGUUAAACGGUUUAGAAUUGAGGCACCAAAGAUGUUUUUGAAACAUCGCGAAACAUAUGAGAUGUUUUGAGGGCUGAAAUUGGGAUUUCAGGCUCGUGCCCACGUCAAGAGGUAUAAGACCUCCGACGAUUUUCUUAGCCUGCAAACUAAGGGAGAAAAGCUCAAUCGUUGAGCUUGUGCUCAGAUUGUCUGAGUGCAACAAUCACUUGAAUCGAGUGGGAGUUGAUCUUCCAGAUGAGAUAGUGAUGUUUCCCCAAAGUCAUUGCCACCAAGCUACUAGAGCUUCAUGAUGAACUAUAACAUAUCAAGGAUAGAGAUGAUGAUCCUUGAGGUAUUCGCGUUGUUUGACAUCGCGAAAGUAGAAAUCAAGAAGGAGCAUCAAUUGUUGAUGGUUGGUGAAACCACUAGUUUCAAGAAGGGCAAGGGCAAGAAGGGAUACUUCAUGAAACGGCAAAUCAGCUGCUGCUCCAGUGAAGAAACCCGAGGUUGAACCCAAACCCGAGACUAAGUGCUUCUGUGAUAAGGGGAACAACCACUGGAGCAGGAUUACCCUGGAUACUUGGUAGAUGAGAAGGCUGGCAAGGUCGAUAGAAGUAUAUUGGAUAUACAUUAUGUUAAUGUGUACUUUACUAGUACUCCUAGUAGCACCAGGGUAUUGGAUACCGGUUCGGUUGCUAAGUGUUAGUAACUCGAAAUAAAAGCUACGGAAUAAACGGAGACUAGCUAAAGGUAAGCUGACGAUAUAUGUUGGAAGUGUUUCCAAGGUUGAUAUGAUCAAGCAUCGCACGCUCCCUCUACCACCGAGAUUGGUGUUUGCGUUGAGCAUAGACAUGAUUGGAUUAUGUCUAUCGCAAUACGGUUAUUCAUUUAAGGAGAAUAAUGGUUACUCUAUUUUUGAAUAAUACCUUCAAUGGUCUUGCACCUAAAGGAAUGGUUUAUUGAAUCUCGAUCGUAGUGAUACACAUUUUCAUGCCAAAAGAUAUAAGAUAGUAAUGAUAGUACCACUUAUUUGUGGCACUGCCAUGUAAGUCAUAAUGGUAUAAAACGCAUGAAGAAGCUCCAUGUUGAUGGAUCUUUGGGCUCACUCGUUUUUUGAAAAGUUUGAGACAUGCGAACCAUGUCUAUUGGUGUAUAUGCAUGAAGAAACUCCAUGCAAAUGGACAGUUUUGACUCACUUGAUUUUGAAUCACUUGGGACAUGCAAAUCAUACCACAUGGGCAAGAUGACUGAAAAGCCUCGUUUUCAGUAAGAUGGAACAAGAUAGCAACUUGUUGGAAGUAAUACAUUUUGAUGUGUACAGUCCAAUGAGUGCUGAGGCAUGUAGUGGAUAUUGUUAUGUUCUUACUUCACAGAUAAUUUGAGUGGAUGUUGAGUACAUUUACUUGAUGAAUCAUGAGUCUGAAUUAUUGAAAGGUUCAAGUAAUUUCAGGGUGAAGUUGAAAGAUCGUCGUGACAAGAGGAUAAAAUAUCUAUGAUAUGAUCAUAGAGAUGAAUAUCUGAAUUACGAGUUUUGGCACAGAAUUAAGACAUUGUGGAAAUAGUUUCACAACUAAUACAGCCUGGAACACCAUAGUGUGAUGGUGUGUCCGAACAUCAUAACUGCACCCUAUUGGAUAUGAUGCAUACCAUGAUGUCUCUUAUCGAAGUACCACUAUCGUUCAUGGGUUAGGCAUUAGAGACAACCACAUUCACUUUAAAUAGGGCACCACGUAAUUCCGAUGAGAUGACACCGUAUGAAUUAUGGUUUAGAGAAACCUAAGUUGUCGUUUCUUAAAAGUUUGGGGCUGCGACGCUUAUAUGAAAAAGUUUCAGGUUGAUAAGCUCGAACCCAAAAGCGGAUAAAAUGCAUCUUCAUAGGAAACCCAAAACAGUUGGUUAUACCUCCUAAUUCAGAUCCAAAAGCAAUAUGGAUUGUUUCUUGAAUCGGGUCCUUUCUCGAGGAAAAGUUUCUCUCAAAAGAAUUGAGUGGGAGGAUGGUGGAAACUUGAUGAGGUUAUUGAACCGUCUCUUCAACUAGUGUGUGGCAGGGCACAGGAAGUUGUUCCUGUGGCACCUACACCAAUUGAAGUGGAAGCUUGUGAUGUUGAUCAUGAAACUUCGGAUCAAGUCACUACCAAACCUCGUGGGAUGACAAGGAUACGUACUACAUCAGAGUGGUACGUAAUCCUAUCUUGGAAGUCAUGUUGCUAGACAACAAUGAACCUACGAGCUAUGGAGAAGCGAUGGUGGGCCCGGAUUCCGAUAAAUGGCUUGAGGCCAUAAAAUCCGAGAGAGGAUCCAUGUAUGAAAACAAAGUGUAGACUUUGGCAGAACGGCUCGAUGGUCGUAAGGCUAAUGAGUACAGAUGGAUUUCAAAAGGAAGACGGACAAUGAUGGUAAAUGUCACCAUCAAGAAAGCUCGACUUGUCGUUAAGAUGUUUUCCGACAAGUUCAAGGAGUUGACUACGAUGAGAUUUUCUCACUCGUAGCGAUGCUAAGAGUCUGUUGGAAUUAUAUUAGCGAUUACUGCAUUAUUUAUGUAAUCUUGCAGAUAGGAUGUCAAAACAUUGUUUCCUCGACGAUUUUCUUGAGGAAAGGUUGUAUGUGAUACAACCGGAAGGUUUUGUCAAUCCCGAAAGAUGCUAAUAAGUAUGCAAAGCUACAGCAAUCCUUCUAAGGACUGGAGUAAGCAUCUCGGAGUUGGAAUGUGCGCUUUGAUGAGAUGAUCAAAGAUUUUGGGUUUGUACAAAGUUUAUGAGAAACUUGUAUUUCCAAAGAAGUGAGUGGGAGCACUAUAGAAUUUCUGAUGUGUAUAUGUUGUUGACAUAUUGAUGAUCAGAAAUGAUGUAGAAUUUCUAGAAAGCAUAUAGGGUUAUUUGAAAGGUGUUUUUUAAAUGGAAAGCCUGGAUUAAGCUACUUGAUCAUUGAGCAUCAAGAUCUAUAAGGAUAGAUCAAAAUGCUUAAUAAUACUUUCAAAUGAGCACAUACCUUGACAUGAUCUUGAAGGUGUUCAAGAUGGACCAGUCAAAGAAGGAAUUCUUGCCUGAGUUGUAAGGUACGAAGUUAAGACUUAAAGCUCGACCACGGCAGAAUAGAGAGAAAGGACGAAGGUCGUCCCCUAUGCUUAAGACGUAGGCUCUUCAGUAUGCUAUGCUGUGUACCGCACCUGAAGUGUGCCUUGCCAUGAGUCAGUCAAGGGGUACAAGAGUGAUCCAAGAAUGGCUCACAGGACAGCGGUCAAAGUUAUCCUUAGUAACUAGUGGACUAAGGAAUUUUCUCGAUUAUGGAGGUGGUAAAAGAGUUCGUCGUAAAGGUUACGACGAUGCAAGCUUAACACCUAUCCGGAUAGCUCUAAGUAGAGAUACCGGAUACGUACAAUGGGGCAACAAUUUAGAAUAGUUGCAAGUAGAACAGUUAUUUGGAAUAGCUCCAAAUAGAGCGUGGUAGCUGCAUCUAGGAGAUGACAUAAAGAUUUGUAAAGCACACAUGGAUCUGAAAGGUUCAGACCCAUUGACUAAAACCUCUCUCACAAGCAACAUGAUCAAACAUAAAACUCAUUGAGUGUUAAUCACAUAGUGAUGUGAACUAGACUACUGACUCUAGUAAACUCUUGGGUAUUAGUCACAUGGCGAUGUGACCUGUGAGUGUUAAUCACAUGACAAUGUGAACUAGAUUAUUGACUCUAGUGCAAGUGGGAGACUGUUGGAAAUAUGCCCUAGAGGCAAUAAUAAAAGUAUUAUUAUUAUAUUUCCUUGUUCAUGAUAAUUGUCUUUUAUUCAUGCUAUAACUGUAUUAUCCGGAAAUCGUAAUACACGUGUGAAUACAUAGACCACAAUAUGUCCCUAGUGAGCCUCUAGUUGACUAGCUCGUUGUGAUCAACAUAUAGUCAUGGUUUCCUGGCUAUGGACAUUGGAUGUCGUUGAUAACGGGAUCACAUCAUUAGGAGAAUGAUGUGAUGGACAAGACCCAAUCCUAAGACUAGCACAAAGAUCGUGUAGUUCGUUUGCUAGAACUUUGCCAAUGUCAAGUAUCUCUUCCUUUGACCAUGAGAUCGUGUAACUCCUGGAUACCGUAGGAGUGCUUUGGGUGUAUCAAACGUCACAACGUAACUGGGUGACUAUAAAGGUGCACUACAGGUAUCUCCGAAAGUAUCUAUUGUUUUAUGCGGAUCGAGACUGGGAUUUGUCACUCCGUGUAAACGGAGAGGUAUCUCUGGGCCCACUCGGUAGGACAUCAUCAUAUGUGCAAUGUGACCAAGGAUUUGAUCACGGGAUGAUGUGUUACGGAACGAGUAAAGUGACUUGCCGGUAACGAGAUUGAACAAGGUAUCGGUAUACCGACGAUCGAAUCUCGGGCAAGUAAAAUACCGCUAGACAAAGGGAAUUGUAUACGGGAUCGAUUGAGUCCUUGACAUCGUGGUUCAUCCGAUGAGAUCAUCGUGGAACAUGUGGGAGCCAUCAUGGGUAUCCAGAUCCCGCUGUUGGUUAUUGACUGGAGAACGUCUCGGUCAUGUCUGCAUGUCUCCCGAACCCGUAGGGUCUACACACUUAAGGUUCGAUGACGCUAGGGUUAUAAAGGAAGCUUGUAUGUGGUUACCCAAUGUUGUUCGGAGUCCCGGAUGAGAUCCCGGACGUCACGAGGAGUUCCGGAAUGGUCCGGAGGUAAAGAUUUAUAUAUAGGAAGUCCUGUUUCGGCCAUCGGGACAAGUUUCGGGGUCAUCGGUAUUGUACCGGGACCACCGAAAGGGUCCCGGGGGCCCACCGGGUGGGGCCACCUGCCCCGGGGGGCCACAUGGGCUGUAGGGGGUGCGCCUUGGCCUACAUGGGCCAAGGGCACCAGCCCCUAGAGGCCCAUGCGCCAAGAUAAAGGAAAAAGGGAAGAGUCCUAAAGGGGGAAGGCACCUCCGAGGUGCCUUGGGGAGGAUGGACUCCUCCCCAUCCUUAGCCGCACCCCUUCCUUGGAGGAGGGGGCAAGGCUGCGCCUUCCCCCUCUCCCUUGGACCUAUAUAUAGUGGGGAAAAGGAGGAGCAAUCAUACCUAAGGCCUUUGGUUGCCUCCCUCUCCCUCCUGUGACACAUCUCCUCUCCCGUAGGUGCUCGGCGAAGCCCUGCGGGAUUGCCACGCUCCUCCACCACCACCACGCCGUUGUGCUGCUGUUGGAUGGAGUCUUCCUCAACCUCUCCCUCUCUCCUUGCUGGAUCAAGGCGUGGGAGACGUCACCGGGCUGUACGUGUGUUGAACGCGGAGGUGCUGUCCGUUCGGCACUUGAUCAUCGGUGAUCUGAAUCACGAUGAGUACGACUCCAUCAACCCCGUUCACUUGAACGCUUCCGCUUAGCGAUCUACAAGGGUAUGUAGAUGCACUCCUCCUUCUACUCGUUGCUGGUCUCUCCAUAGAUAGAUCUUGGUGUUACGUAGGAAAUUUUUUGAAUUUCUGCUACGUUACCCAACACACACAGCAUUAUCACGGAUAAUGGUACUAACCUAUCCAAAGGUGAGAUGGAGGAUUUCUGUCAGAGGGAGCAUAUUCGGCUUGAUCUAGCAUCUGUGGCGCACCCUCAAUCCAACGGUCAAGCAAAGCGAGCUAAUCAAGAAAUCUUAAAGGGUCUUAAACCCCGACUCAUGAUUCCCUUGAAACGGACGCCGGAUUGCUGGGUGGAAGAAUUACCUUCUGUGUUGUGGAGUAUCAACACCACCCCCAAUCGAUCAACAGGAUACACGCCUUUCUUUAUGGUCUACGGGGCAGAGGCGGUUCUCCCAAGUGAUAUACGUCAUGAUUCGCCCCGGGUUGCUAAUUACGUUGAAGUGGAUAACGAGCAAGCCCGCCAAGAGGCACUGGAUUUGCUAGAUGAGAAGCGGGAUAUGGAUUUGGCACGCUCGGCGGUUUAUCAACAAGACCUGCGGCGUUAUCACAGCCGUCGGGUUAGGACAAGAGCCUUUCAAGAAGGUGACUUGGUGCUCCGGCUUAUCCAGGAUCAGACCAGCAUACACAAGUUAUCCCCGCCUUGGGAAGGACCCUUUGUGGUCAGCAAGAAUCUGCACAACAGAUCAUACUACCUCAUUGACGUUCGAGAUGACUCACGCAAAUCUGAGGAGGAGACCCGGCGGCCCUGGAACAUAGCUCUCCUCCGGCCUUACUACACUUGAGCCACAGGCUCUUUUUUAUGUACAUAUUUUGACAAUGUAUAUAUUAUCAUCAAUAAGUAAAUCAGCAUCCUUGCUUUAAAGCGGGGCCUCUGCUGUUUUUUCUCAAAUAUUCUUUGAGCUACAUGGGGGUUUCAGCUGACAAAGCAGAGUACUACCCGUUAAACCGGCUAUCACGCCACAAAGCUUGGGAGCUUCACACCCAAAGGGCCAAAGAGAGUUUCGAUGCUAUGCACAACUCAAACAUAGGUACCCAAUGAGCACAGCUCAUCACACAGCUUGGGAGCUUCACACCCAAAGGGCCAAAGAGAGUUUCGAUGCUCAAACAUAGGCACCUAAUGAGCACAGCUCAUCACUUUACUUGGGGGCUCCUUGGUCCAAUACCAAGAAGUAUGAAUGGACCCUUGUAGCUGGGUAUCGACCCACGGCUUGGAAGCCUGGUACAUUUACCUAAAACCCUGGGUUAACCUGCCUUCAUCAAGUAAGACACUCCUAUCCAGGUCAUCCUGGCACGGCCCUCCGAACGUUUGAUAGUUACUCUCCUUCAGACCCUGCACUUGUCAAAGUUAAAACGGUGAUUGGUUAGUUGGAGGUCCAUCUUAAAAGGCUUUGUUAAAUGGUUCAACUCAGUGGCCUGGCAGCCCACAAAAAGCCUCGCAUUUGGGCCUGACAGCCCCCAAAAAGCCUCGAGUACACGAUUUUCAUUUGAGUUUUUGCUGUAUUUUAUGAUAAACCGAUUUUUUCUUGGCUUAAUCAGUCAUCUUCUUCGCCCGGUAUUCCUUAAACCGGCGUGGUUUGCAACCACACGUUGACAGACCUUUAUUAUAAUCCGAAGUUUCUUAACCCGGCUCGGCGUUGACUUCCUGUCAACAGCCCGGAUCAUCUGGCGUGAAUCAUCACCCGGUAUGACUUAAUCUACGACAUCAAGACAUGACGGAGAUACAAAUAAUUCAGAUUUGGGUUGUUCACCCUUGUCACAAUUCAAGUUGGCCAGCCAACUAACCAGGGAUUUUAUAUUACCGGUAUGUAUAAUUUCAUAUCUUUAUGAUUUGAUUAUCGAUCCGGCCUAUUUUGGGUAUUAUGACCCGUCCGACGGUAAACCGCCAGGACUCUUUGUCUUUUUAUGAGUACAGGAAUUGCAUAUUAUGAUGCUUGGAACAAAAUUAACAUUGAUAUGGCGGAUCCACGCAAAAUAUCUCUUGCACGAUGGCAGCAGAUCAUCAUAAGUUUUUUGCUAUCCUAUUACAUGGCAUUCCAAGGCCCAAAAUAUGGAAUUAUUCAUGGAUUGUUCACGAUAUAUCAACCGCCUUGACGGAUUAAGCUUCAUCACCGGGUUGACGUGAGGUAGAUGGGUCAUCUGGCGUCGGUUCAGCCUCCUCCUCAUCCAAUGACUGGAAGUCAUUGGUGGUCCAGUCAAUCCGGGUCAAGGCCUGAAAGACAGCCUCUUCACUUAUAAGCUCAGCCGGAUCAACGUCAGGAGCGUAAGUGUGCUUACAGAUUGGUGGGAUGAGGUUAUGCACUUCAGGAAUCACAGCUUCAACCCAUUUGUUGUUUGCAUCAUAGAAAGAUCGGUGAACCGUCAGGUUAGCCUCCUCUGCUAGUUGACUCGCCAAAGGACGCAUCUCCCUUGUUAUCCGUUUGAGGGCGUCAUUGUCAAAUUCUUUGCCAUUUUCUUGUGCACUGGGGAAGCCUUUGGAUAUAUCAGCCGGAUCAAGAUCAGCUAUCCAUGCCUUGGCUCGAGUCAGCGCCAGCAAAGCGCCUGCCCAAGCAGCGGAUCGCUUCAGCUCUUCUAUUUGCGCUGGCGUCAUUGAGAGACGAUCCAGCGUAUCUCUGAUAAGUGUUGGUGCCUCAUUAUCAUAUGAAGCUGCGCAUAUAACCCGUUGAGCGCCGGUAUAUAGCUGUUCAAUCAGUGUAUAUGCCACUUUAAGCUUCUUCCGCAUGUCAGCACCUAGGUGAGCGAUGUGACUCCCUAUAUAAGUUCAGGAAAUACAUGUUAAAACGAUGAAAUUUCAAAGAGAUACAACUUUUGGCAACAAUACUUACCAAAUAUGGCAGAGGUCAUGGCAUUGAUUUGGCGCUUCAGUCCAGACAAUUCUUCUGCCACCGGUUUAAAAGCCGCUUCAGCAGUCUCCGCCCGCUUCACCAGUCCGGCCUUCUCGGUGUCCCAGUUGGCCCGCUCAAACUUAAACCAUUCUUUAAGCUGCUCCAUGGUGGUCAAGGCGGUUUUCAGCUCCUCCUUGGCCUUGCUGGAUUCUGUUUGUUGGGAUUCAAGAUUUGCUCGAAGAUCAGCAAUUUGAGAGAUUUGUUGAUUUAUUUCACUCUGCAACAGUAAGAGGGCAUGUUAAUAUCUUUUCAAAGUCCCAAGCAUAUAACCAGUUAUACACUCGGCACUUGGGGGCUAAUGCGGAUCCUUUUUUAUGCGGGCAUUUGAAGUCCCACGGAUUAAUACAAGUUUUAAUCCUGGCACUUGGGGGCUAAUGUGUGUUUGAUCAGACAAAGAAAAUUUCACAAGUUACCGCAUGAAGUAUAUGAAGUCCCGGUUUGACUUUUUCAAGACAAACCGGCCCUUGAGGCCUACAAUGCACUGAAGGUACAGAACAAGAAGCAAUAGUGUUUACCUCAUAACGUUCCUUCAUCAGAUUUACUAAACCGGCUUCAAAGUCGCGGCUUGUAUACAGCCGGUUCAGAAAGCCGGAAUGAAGAUCUUGAGCAGUGAGAUUGGUAUAAGCAGACAAAUUAGUCUUCCCUUUCCCCUUGUUCAUGGCAGCAAAUUCAUCCUUAGUUGUGUGCUUUGACAGAACAACCGGAUUACCAGGGGCGUUAUAUGCAGUGCCUGUAACGACAACGUCAUCAUCCUUGGCCGGGCUGGAAGAAUCAAUGUUCUGAACUGGACUUGGUAUUUUCGUGGAAGGGCUCGGCGGUUUGAUAAUUGGACUUGGCGGGUCAGCAAUUGAGUCCCGUUGUUCCAUUGCUGGGCUUGGCGGAGCAGGAGGAUGUGAAGUGUCAGCUUCUGCAGUCGGUUCAACUUCUGGCGGGUUAGUAUUACCAUCUUGAUUCGGCCCAGCCGAGCUGUCCAUGGCAACUUCUGGGUGUUCGUCCUGAUGCUCGGGCGUCUUUUCCGUAUCAACUUCAACAGUAGGGUCGCUGGUCUUGGCCUUCUUGCUUAAUCGAGCUUUGGCGCUAUAACACCAACAGUUAGAGUAUGGUAAACCGACAAAGAAAGUUAUAAAUCAGGUAACACUUACCUAGCGACAACUUUGAGAGGAGGCAAUUGGGUCGUUGAUGAACCGCCAGACGAGCUGGAAGAAGCCUGGUAAUUCGGGUCAGACGGAUUGAGAGGGCAUCGGAAGAAACCUUUUAAAGGGUAUUGUUUUUCAGGAGAGCAAAUCACCUCUGGACGGUGUUUCCGGGAGGGUGUAUCAGCUAAAUCGAACGAGGUGAUUUGUUGACCACUAUGCCGGGUUGUGUGACGUUCUUCCGCUUGCCGUUUCUUCAAAGAAAAUUUUGGAUCCAAAUGAGCAAGGGGGUGAGAUUGUUUUACUUUCCAGACUGUACGCCACAUUCUUUGAACCGGCACAGGAUCUGAGUCGGAAGAAAGAAUAAUUACCUCAACAUGAUCUGCAUGGCUGGCCUCAGCGUCAUCCUGAAGAGGGUCAUUGUCAAUAAGAUAUACGAAAAGGGAGCCAAGUGAGUCAAGUUCUACCUCAGCGUCUGAUUCUUCCUCCUCCGGCGGAUCAGAAGAUUCGGCGGUUUUCUUCUUUCCAGGCUUCUUGGUGGCCUUGGUUUUUACACGAGGAGCACCGACCGGUUUAGUCCGUUUCCAGAAAGAGUUGUUGGCCUGAGAUUAAGGCAGAGAAAGGUUAGUAGACAGUCAAUACAAAAGUAAAAUCAGUGAAGUAUGUACAUAAAACUUACCGACGGCGGUUUAUUGGAGAUGUAAAACGGAGCCAAACUGGUUUGGCUACAUGCAGAGACCGGUUCAUCAAGCAUCUUCUUUACACAUUCGGUGAUUUCAUGGUCGGUCAUUAUUACUUCAUGAUAUCAUUGAGGGUCUUUUACAUUGCCGGUAUACUCAUGCAUCAAUCCGGGGCGGCGGCUCAAAGGCAGAAUGCCCCAAGAAACCCAGCAGCGGACAAGAUCAAUGCCAGCUAACCGUUGGCCAUCAGAGCCCGGAGCUUGGCGAGUUGAGGAGCGAAAUUCUUCCGUUCCACGGCGAUUAAAUGCUGAGGCAGUGGGUGUCCAUUGCUAAGCCGAUGAGGGCGGUAGCCCGGCAAGGGAUUUUCUCCAUCAGGAGCAGUGUUCCGGCGGUAAAACUAGGUCUGGUUCCAAUCUUUAGGAUGGCUAUGAUGUUUGGCAUGAGGGAAGUCAACCUCUUUCUUUUUUUGAAUUGACACGCCACCAAGCUCUGUGUUGGGGCCAUCUGAGAAUUCUGUACGGCGGUUCAGAUGAAAGAAAUCCCGGAAUAACUCCACGGGCUCUUCUUGAAGAUAGACUUCACAGAAUACUUGAAAGUUGCAUAUGUUUGAUACGGAGUUUGGACCGAUAUCUUGCGGAUGGAGUUGGAAGCUUGCGAGGACAUCCUGGAAUUUUUUUGAUCCGGGCGGACUGAAUCCCCGGUCUAAGUGUUGCAUAAAAACAAUCACCUCUCCUUCUUGAGGUUCAGGUGGACAUUCCGAUUCCGGAACUCGCCAGUGGAGAACCUUCUUUGAGGCUAAGGCACCAGUGAUGACAUAACCAUUGAUCUGGGUCUCUGUAAUCCGGGAUGGAACCCAGUUGCAAGCAGAAAAUUGCUUCGACAUUCUGGAAAGAGAAACUAAAAAUAAAAGCGCUGGUUUAAGGUAUCUAAUUCAGUGUUAAACCGGAGAAGAAUAUUAUGGAAGUGCAGUUGGCGGUUUAAGAGAGGGCUAAUGCUAUAUGGCGGAUUGGCUAUUAAAGAGUUAAACCGCCUGUAGGCAGAAUGGCCAGAGUUCGAAAUUUCUGAUAAGUAUUGACAGAAACAGGUUUCACACAAUGGUCAAAUUUAUUUGGAUCUACCAACAUCUGUAAAGCAGUUUUUUAUCUGAGUUCUAAAGGAGCUAAAUAGGGCAGGGAAAGCCAUAUACUCUACAGAGGUAAAAGAACGAUCUGCUAGCAUGAAAAUGGACGGAGGGUACCUACCGCAUGAGAUCUACAUUACUAUUUGGUCAAAGACUAUCGUGGAAGAUGGAAGAACAAAGAAAGAUGAGGAACUGUGCGGAAGAACUCGGGAACCCUAGAAACAGAUCGUAAGGCAAAGGAGAAAGGAAGCUUACCACUGCAGAUCUACUGCAGAAGAGGGAUGACGAAAAUCUGGUUCGUUUUAGGUUGAUGCAGCGGCCUUUGCUGAUGCAGAUCUCGAAGGUCGCGGACGGCGGCGGAGCUCCAGAGCUUGGGCGUCGCAAGGAAGAAGAAAGCAAAGGGGAAAUGAGAGAAGGGCCCUCGGACCUUAUUUAUGGAGGAGAGAGUAAAACGGCAAGCGCGGAAAUCAAGGAGCCUGAAACGGCAGGAUAAGUGCGCCUGUCGCCUCGAUUUUGGGAUAACCAUUAAGUGAAGGAAAUCUUUUUUAAUUAUUGUUUAUAGAGAUGAUGUCAUGAUGGACCGUUGCUGCGUUCAGAGGAUGACGUCACGACAGUUUACAAAGUUUCAAGAGAAGACAAUAUGGCGGUUUACGAAAAUACAAGAAGAUGCCUGCAAGGAAUAUUUGAAGUAUUGAAGAUUGACAUGAACAAAUUCAAAUCAAUAUGGGGCCUAAUGUGGAGGUUAUAUCUACUGAGUAUAAACCGGCCAGGAGGGUCCGGUUCACCCUUGAUUAUGUUAAAGCCCAUGAAGAUCCAGAAGAUGGCGCUUUACUAAAGAAGCAUAGAACCCGAAGCCCAAAGGCGGAUUAGGGCCCAUGAUGGUAAACCGCCAUGAUUAUGUAAACUUGUAUUGUAAGUUAGGAAAGGAGAGACCGAGCCAGACACUUUGUAUGAGUCGGCCUCGGGACUCUGUAAACCGGCCGGGCGUCAACCUGUAUAUAUAAAGGGGCGACCCGGCGGCGGUUUAGGGACAACAGACAACAACUCGAGACUCAGGCAAGCGUAUUCCGCUCCCUGAUCAUCGAAACCCAAUCAAUCCCAUCACAACUAGACGUAGGCUUUUACCUUCAUCGAAGGGGCCGAACUAGUAUAACUCCCGUGUCCCUUGUCCGGUUUAACCCCUUCAAGCUAACCCGUUGUGAUGGCUCCACGACUAAGUCCUUUCACAAGGACAUCUGACGUGAUAAUUCCACGACAGCAGGUUCAACCUCUACUUCAUUGUUUUUGCUAGGUUGAGCAUCAACAUGAACAUUAUCAUUAACAUUAUCACUAGGUUCAUGUUCAUCACCUGAUUGUGUCUCAGCAUCAGAGAUAGAAAUAUUAUUGGGAUUCUUAGGUGUGUCUACAGUAGGUUCACUAGAAGCAUGCAAAGUUGUAUCUUUUUCUUUUUCUUCUUUUUAGAAGUCUAGGUGCCUCUAAAUUAUUUCUCUGAGAAUCUUGCUCGAUUCUCUUAGGGUGGCCUUCAGGAUACAAAGGUUCCUGAGUCAUUCUACCAGUUCCAGUAGCCACUCUAACAACAAAGUCAUUUUUAUUAUUUAAUUCAUCAAGCAAAUCAUUUUGAGCUUAAGUACUUGCUCAGCUUGAGUAGCAACCAUAGACGCAUAUUUGCUAAUGAGUUUAAGUUCACCUUUAACUCUAGCCAUAUUAUCACUCACGCGUCCUACCUCGAAAGCAUUAUUCUUUAACUCUCUACCAACAUAAGCAUUAAAACUUUCUUGUCUAGCCAUAAAUUCAUCAAAUUCGUCUAAGCAAGGGCUAUGAAAUUUAGUAGAGGGGAUUUCAACUUUAUCAUAUCUAUAGAGAGAAUUUACCUUUACUACCUGUGUCGGGUUAUCAAGACAAUGUGGUUCUUCAACAGGCGGUAUAUUAAGACCAUGUAUUUCUUCAAUAGGAGGUAAAUUCUUAACAUCUUCAGCUUUAAUACCUUUUUCUUUCAUUGAUUUCUUUGCCUCUUGCAUAUCUUCAGGACUGAGAAAUAAAACACCUCUCUUCUUCGGAGUGGGUUUAGGAAUAGGCUCAGGAGUUGGUUCAAUUGGUUCAGGAAUUGCUUCAUGAAUUGGCUCAGGAAGAGUCUAAUUAUUUUGAUUAGUCAACAUAUUAUUCAAUAGUAAUUCAGCUUCAUCGACUGUUCUUUCCCUGAAAACACAACCAACACAACUAUCCAAGUAGUCCUUGGAAGCAUCGGUUAGUCCAUUAUAAAAGAUAGCAAGUAUUUCAUUUUUCUUGAGAGGAUGAUCAGGCAAAGCAUUAAGUAACCGGAGAAGCCUCCCCCAAGCUUGUGGGAGACUCUCUUCUUUGAUUUGCACAAAAUUAUAUAUUUCCCGCAAGGCAGCUUGUUUCUUAUGACCAGGGAAAUAUUUAGCAAAGAAGUAAUAAAUCAUAUCCUGGGGACUACGCACACAACUAGGAUCAAGAGAAUUAUACCAAGUCUUAGCAUCACCCUUUAACGAGAACGGAAAUAUCUUAAGGAUAUAAAAAUGGCGAGAUCUUUCAUCAUGAGUAAACAGGGUAGCUAUAUCAUUCAACUUGGUAAGAUGUGCAACAACAAUUUCAGAUUCAAGGCCAUAAAAAGGAUCAGAUUCAACUAGAGUAAUAAUCUCAGGAUCAAUAGAGAAUUCAUAAUCCUUAUCCAUAACGCAGAUAUGUGAAGUAGCAAAAGCACGGUCAGGUUUCAUUCUAGCAUUAAGAGACUGCUGCUUCCAUUUAGCUAAUAAUUUCUUAAGAUCAUAUCUAUCAUUGCAAGCAAAGAUAGCUCUAGCAGCUUCUUCAUUCAUAACAUAACCUUCAGGAACAACAUGCAAUACAUAAUUGGGAUAACUUUCAUCAUCACUAUCAUCAAUAAUAGCAUCUUCAAUAUUUUCAAUCCCCCUAACUCUAGCAAGUUGUUCAUCAAGAAAUUCACCUAAUGGAAAAGUAGUAUCAUGCAUAGAAGUAGUUUCAUCAUGCAUAGCAGAAGUGGCAUCAUCAAUAACAUGCGACAUAUCAGAAUUCAUAGUAGUGGCAGGUUUAGGUGUCGCAAGCUUACUAAUAACGGAAGGAGAAUCUAGUGCAGAGCUAGAUGGCAGUUCCUUACCUCCCCUCGUAGUUGAGGGCAAAAUCUUGGUUUUAGCGUCUUUCUUCAUAGUGAUCAACAGAUAUAAAUCCCAAGUGAAUCAGAGAAUAGAGCUAUGCUCCCCGGCAACGGCGCCAUAAAUUAGUCUUGAGAACCCACAAGUGUAGGGGAUCGCAACAGCUUUUGAGGGAAAAGUAUUCAACCCAAAUUUAUUGAUUCGACACAAGGGGAGCCAAAGAAUAUUCUUGAGUAUUAGCAGUUGAGUUCUCAAUUCAACCACACCUGGAUAACUUAGUAUCUGCAGCAAAGGAUUUAGUAGCAAAGUAGUAUGAUAAUAAAGCUAACGGUGGCAAAAGUAAAGAUAAUAGUUUUUGGGUUUUUGUAAUAGUUGUAACGGUAGCAACGGAAAAGUAAAUAAGCGAAGAACAAUAUGUGAAAAACUCAUAGGCAAUGGAUUAGUGAUGGAUAAUUAUGCCGGAUGCGAUUCCUCAUGUAAUAGCUAUAACAUAGGGUGACACAGAACUAGCUCCAAUUCAUCAAUGUAAUGUAGGCAUGUAUUCCGUAAAUAGUCAUACGUGCUUAUGGAAAAGAACUUGCAUGACAUCUGUAUUCCCGUGGCAGCGGGGUCGUAGUGGAAACUAAGGGAUAUUAAGGCCUCCUUUUAAUAGAGAACCGGAACAAAGCAUUAGCACAUAGUGAAUACAUGAACUCCUCAAACUACGGUCAUCACCGAGAAGUAUCCCGAUUAUUGUCACUUCGGGGUUGUAGGAUCAUAACACAUAAUAGGUGACUAUAGACUUGCAAGAUAGGAUCAAGAACACACAUAUAUUCAUGAAAACAUAAUAGGUUCAGAUCUGAAAUCAUGGCACUCGGACCCUAGUGACAAGCAUUAAGCAUAGCAAAGUCAUAGCAACAUCAAUCUCAGAACAUAGUGGAUACUAGGGAUCAAACCCUAACAAAAUUAACUUGAUUACAUGGUAAAGCUCAUCCAACCCAUCACCGUCCAGCAAGCCUACGAGGAAAUUACUCACGCACGGCGGUGAGCAUCAUGAAAUUGGUGAUGAAGGAUGGUUGAUGAUGACGACAGCGAUGAAUCCCCCUCUCCGGAGCCCCGAAUGGACUCCAGAUCAGCCCUCCCGAGAGAGAUUAGGGCUUGGCGGCGGCUCCGUGUCGUAAAACUCGAUGAAACUUUCUCCUUGAUUUUUUUCUCACCGAACGUGAAUAUAUGGAGUUGGAGUUGAGGUCGGUGGAGGUCCAGGGGGCCCACAAGAUAGGGGGCGCGCCCUAUAGGGGGGGGGGGCGCCCCCUUGUCUCGUGGACAGGGUGUGGGCCCCCUGGUGUAUUUCUUUCGCCCAUAAAUUCUUAUUAAUUCCAAAAAGUGCCUCCGUGGAUUUUCAGGACAUUCUGAGAACUUUUCUUUUCUACACAUAAAACAACAUCAUGGUAGUUCUGCUGAAAACAACGUCAGUCCGGGUUAGUUUCAUUCAAAUCAUGCAAGUUAGAGUCCAAAACAAGGGCAAAAGUUUUUAGAAAAGUAGAUACGUUGGAGACGUAUCACGCCUCCGGCAGUCCCGUUGGGACAUGAACUUCACCGUUGUGUCGAUGUGGGAGCGGGCACAGGAGUUGGCGCCUUUCCCGCGGCUUAACACUGACGAGGAUUGUCGCAAACACCGGAGGCGGGAGCACCGUCUUAGCCUGGCCGAUAUGGACGAGGAAGCCAUGGCGCUGUGGAGGCAAUCUUCUCGCAAGACAUCAUCAACAAAGACUAGUUCUUUGUCGAGAGGAGGGCGGAGAGGGAGGAGAGAAGGAAGGAGCGAGCCGCCUAUCGCGAGGACAAGCGAACGCGGAAGACGGUCGCUAAAUACAACAUGGAGCUAGGAGAUGCAUCAUCCUGGGAUUCCCGUGACGAGCGGUUCCUUGACGCCUAUGCUCAGACGUCGGAGGAGGACAUCACCGAGGCAGAGUCCGAGUCGGAGAACGAGUAGUAGUAGUUUUUAGUUUUAUUUUGUAUUGUAGAAGCAGGCUAUGUGGAUGUAGUAGAACUAUAUAUCAUUGGAGAAGCCUAGAUAUAUGCAUUUUGUAUCGUAGAAGCAGGCUAUGUGCCAAACUAUCUUCAUAUUUGUAUGCUAUGUAUGCAAUCGUCUCAAGAAAAAAUGAAAUAUAGCGCGCCUACUGGAGCGGCUCUGGCGCGCUUUAUUUUGUGGCGGCCGCUGGAGCCAGCGCAGCGCCGCACGCAAAACCUGGCUAACGCGGCGCGGUAUUCUCAUUUUUAGCGCGCCACACAUUGCGCGCCUGUUGAUGCUCUUAUAAAGAGCAAAGAGGGGUCGAAUCGACACUCCACGCUCUCCUUCUGCUCCAAUGCCCAAAUCCUCCAAGCCUUAUCAUCCUCAAUCUUGAGCCCAGGACACGUCUCUCCCUGUAUGUAUGUUUCCCACGACACGUCUAGCCCGAACUGCACGUUGGACCUCGCGUCCACCCUCGAGGUUGGAACCACUGUUCAAGAAUUCGUCCGAUUAAUUAGUUAACGGGUCAGUUAAUCACUACUCAUAAGGUGACCGAAUCGAAUAACACAUAUUCAUCAUGUUAACUUGCCAAGCCGAUUAAUUGGCCAGUUAGACCGAUUAAUCGGUUGUUUGGCCGAUUAAUCAUUGUUGACCCAUUAACUUCUAGGCAAACAAUGCCUAAUUUUUUUCCUAUAACCCCUCCCAUCCCCCUCUCGCUCCUCAAUAGCUAUGGUUUGACCAAACAGUAGCAUAUUUUGGUAUAUUACAUAGUUGAGAGCAUGAGAGUACGGUAUAAUACAUAAAAACUAGAUAUAUGUUGGCAAUUCCUAUUUAAUCUACCGAUUAAUGGUCGACCGAUUAAUCCAGUUAAUAGGCCGAUUCACCGAUUAAUCACUACUUCCAAGAUGACCGAGCAGCUACCAGUUACCGAUUUCUUGAACAAUGGUUGGAACACCCAGAAGCAGGAUAAUCGGUCACCUGUAGGACACUCCAGAUUAGUUUGUAUUUUGUGAUGAAUGCUGCUGGGUUGAUAGUGCAAAUUUCACUUUGGGCAGAGCUCAUCAAAGCGGCAGACGCUAGCAGCGGCGAGUCAGCGCUCAAAGGCCUCUGGCACCAUACCAGCGCCAUCCUAUGCUGCUCUCUCAAGGUACUGUUCCAGGGUUUUACUCACCCUUGGACAACAUCUUUCAGCACAUACUAUAUACACUAUUAUGGCCUGUUUGUUUUUGCUGACUCGAUCUAUCGUGCUAUGAUGCUGCAGGCGAUGCCGGUGUUGACGUUCGCGAACCAGUCCGGGCUGGACAUGCUGGAGAUGAUGCUGGCGGCGCUUCGGGAGAUCACCAUGGACAAGGUGCUGGACUAUGACUAGGGGAGGAAGAGCCUGCUAUGCGCAGACCUGAUGGCCAGCGUCGCGGAGAAGGGGUACACGUGCGUCGAUGGCGGGACAUGCGCUUCGAGCAUGGCCGACCGGCGUCCUACGGGAAGGCGGUGGGGUGGAAGGUGCUGGAUGACGGCCGCGCCGGCGCUGCCCACUGCGUCUGCUUCGCCUUCAUGGACUGGUCCUUCGUUUAGUUGAGGGAUCGACGAUCGUUUGUUGUCGCCAAGUCUCGAGCAUCGGACCUGAGUGUGUAGUAACUUCGUGGGACUGUUGGGUGCGUGGUACAAUGUUUGGAUUGAUGGUGGUGUUUUGUAUGGAUUGAUGACAUGGCGAGAUUGGUGAUGUUGUUUGCUUGCUUUGUAUAGUACUUUCAUUUCCUCUUUUUCUCCUUCUGUCUAUCUACAAACAAUGGGUAUAACUUAGGGCAACUGUAGCCGAUCCGGUAAAACUGGUUUUAGGAGUAAAAAUUCUGGUUUACUCUUCUAAACCGGACCUAGCCGAUCCCCUAGGUGAGUAAAAAAAUUACUUCCAGCAGGGUGCUGAGUAAAUCAACUCCUCUCCCCACACGCCUCACCUACCACCGCCUUGCCGUGCAAAUCACUGCCUCUGUCGCCCAAUCCAUGCCGGCGGCAUCCCACGUCCACUCUGACUCUCGUGGGCCAGCAACAAUGGCUGAUCUGGCCACCGCCGCUCCCUGUAGCAAAAUUUCGUGUUUUGACCCUUUUCACGUCUAAAAUCAGGAUCUGAUCCCGGUUUGAUUUUUUUUUUUGACAUUUGACCCUUUUGUCUACCGCCGCCCUCCCUGGCGGUAGGGUGCUUUGACGGCCGUCUGGCCGUUAACGGGGUCUGACGUGGCAAAGGGACCUACCGCCGCACCCCUCGGCGGUAGGCUCCAACACCCUACCAUCGAUGUCUCUGGCGGUAGGGUCCUGGAGAUAAGGUUCGGUGGGGUCCGCUCACCACCCACCCACUCCACUCAUCUUCUUCCUCCCCGAGCUCACACUCUCUCCUCCUUUUCUCCCCCACCCAAGCACCCACUAGAUCCACCUCCAUUGCUUGAGAUUUGUCCCGUGGAUCGAGGCCAUUUGCAUCACCCAAGGUACCUCCACCAUCCCCCCUUCAUUUGGUUGGUUCAAAUCAUCUAGUUUUGAUGGAAUCAACUAGUUUUGCAACCCCCCUAGUAAUUCCUCUAGUUUAGCAUUUAUUGUGCAUUUAUGACACAUUUAUGGGGCAUUUAUGGUGUAUUUAUGGUUGACCUAAGUAAUAUGUGUCACUCUUUGUUGUGGCAAGCUAGCUUAAGAUUUAGGGCUAGGGGUUUAGUUAGGUUAGGGUUAGGGUUAAGGUUAGGGUUAGUGCUAUGAUUAAGGUAUACUAGUUGUUAGAUUCAAAAUCUUAUAUUUUAGAUAGUUCAUCCAUAUAAAAUGACCGGUCCAUGGAUGAACCAAUUUUGUUCCAUUGUUUUUAGAUGGAUAAACUAGUGAAUGUGCAUUAUUUGGACAAGGCGGUUUUCAUGGAUGGAAAUGCUGACGAGGGGGAGGAGGCCAUGGUUGUUGACACAAGCCCGAGCUAUGAUGAUAUUGUCGUGAAAGUGAGAAACGUCCUCAAUUGGAUUAACCCAAGUGAUGGUGUGAAGCUUAUUGGACGGUAUGAUGUGGGAGUGGGAGUAAGAUCCCGAUUAAAGAGUAUGCCCAUCACCUCUCAAUUGCAUUGGGAUGUGUAUAAGGAGAAAGUUGAGGGAUCACAAGACAAGUCACUUGAGUUAUUUGCCACAAGACAAGUAAAGGUUGAAGUUCCUCGGCCACUACUUGACUUGAACCGGAAUGUGUCCUCCCCAAUGCAUGAUGUUGUCGUGGUGUAUGACCACAAUGCGGCUAGCCAACCACCAAGUAGCCAACCAAAUGAAGAGGACAUCAAUGCUAGAGCAAUAGUUCUUGUAGGUGAUGAUCAUGUUGAAGAUGAGGCCGUUGCUCAUGUUGAUGAACAUGCAAAUGUUCAUGUUUAUGAAGAUGCCAUUGCUCAUGUUGAUGGAGAUGCUAUUGCUCAAGAUGAUGUGUAUGCGGAAGAAGAAUAGAUUCAUUACAAUCCCAUUGGUGACUUGGAUGUCAUUGUGCAUCAACAAGACAUGGACCGGAACCUACCUUAUAGCCGUAUGUGUAGGUAUGAGUUGGAUGAUGAGGAUCCACUGGAAGAAUUGGAUGAGGAUGGAUUCACACAGCGAGAAAAUCAAAUUUACAAGAAGGUCAAUGGCAAGGAAAGAGGGCCCUCUUUGUUUCGUGAUCUUAGCCUUGCCGACAAGGCCGUUGUUGAUGGUGGCAUGAGGUUGGGCUUGAUCAAACCAUCGCCUUGCCCGAGGAUGGGUGAUCCAAGGCCAUCGGGUGAGGACGAGAAUGCUCAUUUGAAGAAAGGGAUCAAGUUUGGUUGUUUGAAAGAGUUCAAGAUAUGGUUGAGUGACUAUGCCAUUCGGAACCAUAGGCUGUUCGUUGUUGGUCAUUCCAACAAAAAAUUGCGCUACACAAUCAAAUGUGACAAAGAAGGUUGCCCAUGGAAGGUCCGUGGAAGAAAGAUCAAGGAAACCGGGCAAUGGGAGUUGAAGAGUUGUGUGGCCACCCACAAGUGAAUACCGCCGGAGAAAGCGGACUGAAGCAAGGGACACCGCCAACUCACGUCCGAGUAUCUAGGCUAUAAAUUGUUGAAUGAGAUAUCCCAUGAUCCAACCGUGAAGGUGAAGUUCCUCAUGAGUUCGGUCUUCGAAAGAUUCGGGUACCCGGUCAAGUAUGGAAAGGCGUGGAUGGCGAAUGCAAACACUAUAAGGAUGUUGCAUGGUGAUUAUGUCGCCGCGUACAACAUUCUUCCGAGAAUGCUGGGAGCCAUUGCUCAUCAGAACCAGGGCAUGUGCCAUAGGGUCGAGUCAAUCGAGGGAGUGUUUCAUCGAGCUUUUUGGAGCUUUGGGCAAUGCAUCGAUGCAUUUAGGCAUUGCCACCCCGUGUUGUCAAUUGAUGGCACAUUCUUAACCGGAAAGUACAAGGGCACGUUGAUGGUAGCAAUGGCCCACUCAUCCAAUGACAAUGUGUUACCGGUGGCAUUUGCGUUGGUGCCUUCCGAGCACGAUGAUAAUUGGCAGUGGUUCAUGGAUCAUGUGAGGACGAAGGUGAUUGGACCCAAAAGAGAGGUGUGCAUCAUAUCAGAUCACCAUCAUGGGAUUCUCAAAGCAAUAGAAGUUGACAUUCUAGGCUAUCCAAAGCUCCAACACCGUUGGUGCAUGAGGCAUUUCGUGGCAAACUUUUACCGUGCAUGCAAGAGUAAGGGGUUUUGCAAAGAUCUUACCCAUGUUUGUGUGGCAUUCAACACCGACACAUUCCAAAGCCACUAUGAUAAGCUAUUCAAGGCGUUGGAGAAGAACAAAGGACGGAGAUGAUUCUUGACAAGGAAUUUUCCGGAGAAGCAUAAGUGGUCACGUGCUUACGACGAAGGAGGUUUCCGAUACGGAGACAUGACAAGUAACAUGGUGGAAUGCUUCAACAAUGUGCUCAAGGGUGUCCGCUCUUUGCCGGUCACUACAAUAGUGAAAUAUACCUUCUUCAAGCUCAACGAGUAUUUUCUGAGGCAUUCCAAAGAGACAGCCAAAUGGAUAGGUGAGAAAAUGGAAUUUCCCUUCAAAGUUGAGGAUUGGUUGAAGCAUCAAGCACGCAAGUCUUGGCGUCAACAAAUCAUUAGUUUCAAUGAAAAAGAACAAAUCUACCAAGUCGAUGAGCCGGGUGGCACAAUAAGGGACGGCAUGACAUACAGUGGAGUAGCAUAUGAGGUGCGCCUCAAGACCCGGUGGUGUCAGUGCGAGAGACCUCACAAGUAUCAUUGGCCUUGCUCGCAUGUGAUGACCGCCGCAAGGUUCAGAAACUUGAAAGUAUCCGAUGGUACCACCUUGCGGUUGCAUGAGUUCACAUUGGAACGAACGAGGUUGACAUGGGCUCCUAGGUUUCAUCCCUUCCUAGAUCAGUCAUAGUGGCCUGAGUAUCAUGGGCCACACAUCGUCCCCGACCCCGAACUCAUGGUGCCUACAAAUGGAAGAAGAAGAAAGAAGAGGUUUAGGGGUGACAUGGAUGACCUAGCUGGAUACACCGGAAUGAAACAAUUUGGUAGCGGCCAUUUCAUGGAGGCACCGGACAUCAACAGUUGUGGUAAAUGUGACGAGCCGGGACACAAUGUUAGGAAAUGCACCAAAAAGCCACAGACCGAUGCCAACACUCCAGAUCCUAGUGAAAGUGGUGGCCGAAGAGGAGGUACCGGUGGCACACGAGGAGGUAGGGGUGGUAGUGGAUGAGGAGGCAGGAGUGGUGCGCGUGCAGGACAGACGAAUCCUAGCAGCCAUCUUGUUCUGUGACCGAAACGGUCCCCUGUUCUGCGGUAGGGUUGGCCAUCCUACCGCCAGUAGGCUAGGCGGUAGGCUCCUACUGCCAGGGAUCAUGGCGGUAGGGUUGCCAUCCUAGCAGCCAUUUUUCUGUGACCAAGCUGGCCACUAAUUUUCCGGUAGGGUUGGUCAACCUACCGCCGGUGCCUAUAGCGGUAGGGUUGGCCAUUUAUUUGUGACCAAUUCGGCCACUGAUUUUACGAUAGGGUUGAUCAACCUACCGCCGGUGCCUAUGGCGGUAGGGUUGGCCAUUUUUCUGUGACCAAGUCGGCCACUGAUUUUACGGUAGGGACGUAGGGUUGGGCAACCUACCGCCGGAGACUAUGCGGUAGGUGCUGAUCUAUGUUAUUUUUUACCCAUUUGCCUUUCCAUUUCUUACAACUUUCUGUGAACUAAGCAUCCACAAAUGAUCGAGUAGCAAAGACAUCAAUAACUGAGCAUCGUUCAUUACAUCCACAAAUGACACUUUUUUAACGAUUCAUGUCCCCCUUCUAAUGAUUUGAAUGACGUAAGUUCAAACUAGAAAUGAUCAAGUAGCAAAGACAUACAUAACCGAUCCAUGUCCAUGUCCCCCUUCUAGCGAUUUGAAUAACAUAACUUCAAACUACAAAGCUCAAGCUUGGAGCAUACAUUUUCUACUUCGGAAAGAAAGAUCUAAAACACAUAAGACGUUCAAUUUGUGCGUCACGAUCAGGAUUAGGAUUCAGUUGAAAAUCCGACGAUCCUGCCCAAUUCUCCAACACACCUUUCAUUUCGCGGAACCAUGCCCAUCGAGCACGCCAUUCUGGAAUCUCUGACUUGCCUUGACUUAUUGCCCAUCCAAUGACCUAUCCGGGUUUUCUCAAGUCCAGCUCGCAGAAUUCUUCUUUGUUUGUGGAGAAAAAGAUCUCCAUUGCCACAGCAUGUUUGCAAGCAUAUUCCUUCUCGUGCAACUCAUCAAGUAUCUUCCCUUUUUCUUUCACAAGCCUACGGAAAACUUUUCUCUCCUUAUGAUCAGAAGGUUCCUCCAUGAAUGAAUACUUGUUCAUAUCCUUCAUGGCACCCCACUCCUCAUCAUUGAUCUUGAACCAUGCUUCAAGCUCCCUCUUGAUACCAAGUUCUCGCUCCGGUACAAUCUUCUCAGACGCUGCCGCCAAACUCUUAGAUGCAAUGCCACAACACUUCUCAUAUACUUUCAUCAACUGCUCCGGGGUCAUGUUUUCCAUGCUACAUGAAAUGGAACAAACCAUAACUCAAAUAAAAUGAUACAAUACAAACACAAAGCAUAACUUAUUUAUAAUGUUCUCACUGGUUCAAAUGACAUAGGUUGCAUAAAUGAUAAGGGUACAUGCCAUUACAGUCCAAAUGACACUACACCAUCCUUUGUUUCAACCCCCUCUACUACUCCAUCAACAAGACAUCUUUGUCGUAUGGCCCCGGGUUGCAACAAAUGACAUCAUUUCUUUCACAGACCCAAGCCCAACGAGUUGCCCGACUAAGUAUCACCGAUGAUGCUUGCCUAACUAGCCAAUCAAUGAUCUGGCCAGGGUUGUUAAAGUCCAUCUCAUUCACUUCAUCCCUUGUUCCACACAAUGCAAUUUGCCUUGCAAGAGCGCGUCUAUGAUUUUUCUCUUCAUUCUUGAGAUUGCUUAUGUUUUUCUCUUUAGCUUGGUAUAACUUAACUCUGGCAUCGUCAUACUUCGACACAUAAUACUUUGAAAAAUCUCUACAAGCCGCAUUCAAUGCAUCAACGGCUUUGACCCACAAGUCCAUCUUUUCCUCAAUGACUGCACAUUCACGCUUCACCGCCGCCUCCGCGGAAGUCUCAACAAACAUGAUCGAUCCCAUCCUACAAGUCGAGGGAUUACUAUAACGGUCAUCCAAGGCAAAAAUCCUAACUGUCUCUUGACAAAAACUAGAACCCUAGGAGUAGAUCGAGCCAUAAUUCAAGAGGUACCUACUCUAACAAAACCCUAAUUAAACUAUAACCAUAACGUUUGUCAUAUAGGCAUUUACUUAAGCAUAACCAUAAACACAACCUUAACCCUAACCAUGUCAUUAAUCCUAACAAAACCCUAAAUGAUAUUUCUUACUACCCAAACAAUGCUAGUGACACAAUACAUUGUCAAAGCACAAACAUUACCGUAAAUGCAUCAUAUACAUUGAUUUCACCACAACAAAACCAUGAACUAGUAUUCCAACAAAAUGAGCAAAAUGCAUGAUCUGAACCAACCAAAUGAAGGGGGAUGGGGGAGGUACCUUGGGUGAUGCAAAUGGCCUCGAUCCACCGGCCAAAUCUCAAGCAAUGGAGGGGGAUCUAGUGGGUGAUUUGGUGGGGGAGAAGAGGGGAGAGAGUGAGAGCUUGAAAGAAGAGUGGGGUGAAUGAGUGGGUGGGGGAGCAACACAACCCCCUCCUUCAAAACCUUUUCCAGAA
rnacentral:lncRNA from 1 species